ACACCUUCUGGAUAUAUGCCCAUGAGAGGUAUUGUUAGAUCCUCCAGUAGUACUAUGUCCAAUUUUCUGAGGACCCGCCAGACUGAUUAUGAGGGUUAGAGAAUUUAUGUAACUAAUCAAAAUCAUACCAUUAGUCAAUCAACUGCUGAAAUUCUAUUAACACCUGUUUUUCUCUGAACUCAUGUUCCUUUUUUACUUGUUAGAUGGUUUCUCUCCUUCUGAGAUAAUAGAAGGCAGAGUUAAACCAAGGUGGAAGGAGUAGUUGAAUGGUUUGCUCUAUUGAUUUAGUGCCUAUGUGUUUGAAUCUAUGUAAGAGAUACUGCUGUGAAAAGUUGACAGAGUCUACUUUGAGAAGUGGUGGAAAGAGCUGAGGAGCUCUAAACUAAAUUCCAGCAUUUGGUAGUAUAUAACUAUGAGUCUGUCACUCCACUACCUAGACCUUGGUUUCACUGUGUGUGUGUGUGUGUGUGUGUGUGUGUGUGUGUGUGUGCGUGUGUGUGCGUGCGCAUUCUCUAUGUUAUGGUACAGAGUGCAGCCAAAUUCAUUGCCAAAAAACACAGCCUCAUCUUACUAUUCUCCUUCUUAGACAGCAUCAUUUCUUCACAGUGGAUACUAUAAACUGGCUAGCCAGCAGGAAAUGAAGGUUUUUCCUUUAGUGUUCAUUACUAUAGAGUCAUGAGAUAUGAAAUAUUCCAUUCCUCAACCUCUAGGAGUGGCGUGGCCAUUUCUGGCCACUGGUCUUGAAAGGAGAGCUACCAGAAAGUCCAUCAGUGAUUGACCUUUCUGUUGCCAGCCGCACAGGUGUGAGGUUAGUAGGGAACAUCACGACCACAGCAUGAAAAGCAUGAGGAUACAGCUACCUGUGAGAAACAGUAGGUCAGAGCAAACAGAAAGGCCCAUGAUCUCUCUUGAUACCUUUAGUCACUCUGCCAAGGUUGGGCCACUUGCUUCCUGGCUGUCUUCUUUUAUGGAACAAGUAAGCUCUUCUUUAAUGGACUUAUUUUCUGCUCCAUGUUUCUUCCAUGUAUGGCUGAAGACAACCUUACUGAUGACAGCUCACUUCCAAGUAAACUGCAAAGGAGUCAGGCCAUACUAAAGAUGGUCUAGAUUCUGCUGGGUUCCUUCCUUCCAGGCUUUUCCCUCACAAUCUCAUUCACAAAUUCUAACGUGAAUUGUUUCCUGUUGCCACCUCUAGUUCCAGGCAAGGGUGAAGUGAACCCUCCCCUUCAUCAAGUUCCCUUUGUUACCUGACUGGUCCCUUUUCUCAUUCCUUAGUGUUUUAACCUUCCAGGACCCUCAGCACUUCUGGUGUCUGUUCACACUUAAUUAUCUAUCUCAUCUUUACCUCUGUGAGUCCCAUAAGUCUUAGUACUCACCAUCAGCACCAUCCCCUCUUCUAAUGCACACAGAGCCUUAAUCCCACUUAGCGCCUUGCCCAGGUAAGUCUUCAGUGCACUUGGCAUAAUGAUUAGAAACAAUAUAUUCACCUGUUCUGAUAUCUUUCUUUUUUGUUUUAACCAUCAGAAAUAGUCUUCCGUUUCUUUGCUUUGUCCUUGCUGUCUCUUACACCUUUGUCAAUCAUAGCAGCUUUUUUAGAUCACCAUUCCCAAGCUAUUGUUGACCUUCUUAGGAAAAGAUGAAAACCCAGAAAGGAGGAGAAAUACCCUUGUUUACCCAGACUGAUCUAUAGUACUAGUUCCAAGCCGCCUGCUGUGCACUGAACAGGAGCAAGUUUUAAUUCUCUCCUUGGCAGGCAGGCAGAUUGGUCUGUGCUUCUGGCCUCGCUGCCAACUAGCUUCAAAUUCAACCACCUCUAAAUGGAGUGGCAAAGCUUACAAACAGUGAGCGAUCCUGAAACUUCCUCCACAUGGUCCAGUGCAUUGUCUGUCAGAUGCUAGCCACCCAGUAAGCACUUUAAUUAUUUUUACUCUUAAAAUUAAAAUAUAAUUACAGCAUUCUCCCAUUCUUUUGUUCCCCUGCAAGCUCUUCUAUAAGUUCUUCUUGCACUUCCUCACCUAUUCAUGGCUCUCUUUUUCUUUAAUAGUUAUUAUAUAUUUACACACACAUACUACACACACACAUGUGCACACAUACACACACACACACACAUACACACACAAAAAAAACUGUCCAUUUGAAACUAUCUUGAGACCACAUUUUCAUGUAGGCAUGCUUUACUUUGAAAUACUGCUCAGUCAUUUUUUAUUUAUGCAUAUUACUCAUACCCUGACGACUUCUCGAAGAGAUUUGUGGUAACUGAAAGCUGCAGGUACAACAUAACCAAUUUGUCACUCAUGUGAGGUGAAAAGGAUAAAAUCCAAAACAAAAACACCGCCAUGGUAGGAAGAACUAGAAUGAGAUUUUAAAGUUCAACUCACUUAUUCUUCCAUUAAACUAUAGGCUUCAUAUUUCAAGAAAAGUAGAAAAGGGUCAGGAAGAUUGAGGCAGUGUAACAUAUAUUACAUUCACACAUUUGAGAGCCCAGGACUCAAGACAACGUCUACCGGCAGUGUGGUCUGUCCCUUCCCUCAGCUUCAGAUGAUGGCAGAGGCUGGAUGCUACUCACCUGCCCAUGCUGUUCACAGGUAUGAACCGCAUCACUAAAAGAGACUUAUCUGUGAUUGUGUUUAUAACCAACAUAAAGUAACUGAGACGUCUCAUUCUGUGAAGUUGCCUUAACCCAAGAACACACUGAUGGAAUAAUAGGAGGGAAGGAACACUAGAAAUGACCCUUUUUGAAUCAGUCUUCCUAUUCAGGUGAAGAAAUUGGAAGAACUUGGUCUCCUAAGACAGUCCUUAGUAAGGCUACUUUUUCAGGGUUGCUUAGUCUCUGGGGCCAGAAUCAGAGCGUCUCAAAGGUCACAGUCCCCGAGAAUCUUCUUGUUUCUUUUUGGUCUACAUCUCAUCAACACCCUCUCCUGUAUGUAUACCCUACCUCAGUCCCCACAUAGCCCUCUCCCACCCAGGUCCUCAGAACUUCACUUGUAAUGAAAGGGUAAUAGUGCAUGUAGAUGUUCUCAGCUCUCUUUUAGACAUCCAUAGACAUGUUUGCAAAUAAUGUUUGGUGAUAUGUUUUGAUACUUUAAUAGUAGCCUUCCUGAUCUUAAUGCAUGUAGAAGAAACUUCCAUUUGGAGUGUACAGCUGAAUAUUAAGUGUCCCUCUAUUGUUCUUGAAAAUUGGAAAUGCUCCUAUGAGGGAGUAAGCUUACGAAGUAAAUAUUUCUAAUUAAAGAUAGUCCUCCAAUGAACCAUGCUGUCUGGGAGUUACCCUGCCAUCCACUUGAACACAUGAGUAGUUAAUUAUUGAUUAGCCAUACAUAAUCACCAAACUAUGAGAGAAGAGACAGUGAAUUCAGAGUCACAAUGUGAUCUGAAGAUAUUCACUUUGUCCUGGGGUGUCUGUAGGGGCCCACAUUUGGGAUUCUCCCUUUCAGAAUCUAGCUACUAUGUCCAAGAAGUCCAAGUUCUCUGGAGAGGCUGAGAGGAAGUAUCUGGAUUUGGCAGCCAAAGCUGAGUUCUCAGCUGUUAGGUUUGUGUAUAAAAUGUCACCAGGAGCUCAUGUGUUGACGGCUCGGUUCCUAGCCAAUGAGUAAGGAAAUGGGAUCUACAUGGGUGAAAAAAAUCUCCUCUGCUUACUGUCUACUGGGAGGUGAAGGGCUUUCUUCUGCCAUGCCUUCCCACCAUCAUGUUUCUGACUCGCCACAGAUCUAAACACCAUUGAGCCAGUUGACUGCAGACUGAAAUUGCUGCACCUGUGAUCCAUAAGAAGUUUGUCCUCUUUUAAGUUGAUUGUCCCAGUCCGUUUGUCACAAGAAGAGCACAAAUUUGACCAGUACACCAAGUGAUCUAAAAGUAGUUGCCAGUCUUGAGAGUAUGCCAUUAUUGACAUCCAGCCCAAAGAGCCUGCAGACAACGCCCCCAAGAAAGACCCCAAGUAUUCCCACUGAUACCAAUGGUCUAUAGAAUCAAAGGAUAGUAAGUCCCUAUUUUAGGUGACUAUGUUGUGAAGCAAUCUGUUACAGAGCAAAGGAUAUUGGGAAUAGUAGGACAUACUAAAAGUUUAUUUUCUCCUCAAGUUUCUACAAAUCUCAGUGGCAAAUGAUAAUCAAUAUCUACUAAGACCUAGAAGCUGGUCAAAGUGGAAUUUAUUUAAACUUUCUUCCCAUCCUGCCAAAGAUUGUGCCAUUUCCAGUCAAGUUAUUUCUUUCAUUCCACUCUUAAGGGAGAUACUCGGGACAGAAAAUCUUGAAAGAAAAAUGCAAUUUAAAAAUAUCUGUUGAGAUAGGUAUUUUGACAUUUGAAGGAAGGAAAAACAAUUUAGGAUGCUUUAAGAGCUUUUCAGUGUUGACUUUCAUAUUAUGUCACUCUGUGCUACAGAAAAUAGUUCUUAUCUCCCCAUCUAGCUAUUUAGAGCAAUCUUCAGUGGCAUCAUGCACCCUUUAAGGGUAUUAAUUGGGGUGGGCAUUGAGACUUUGGGGUUGCAGGUUGCUUAUUAUAGCUGCAAAUCGGGUGGGCUAUUUUUCUUUUAUUGUCUUUCCUUUUCCAUUCUCUCUUUUCUUCCUCCUCUUUUCUCUCUGGCUCCUACUCCUCCUUUCUCUCUCUUCUUCCCUUCCUCUCUCUCUCUAUCCCUUCCCUUCUCUCUCCAUCCUUCAUAUUCUCCCUUUCCUUUUCUCACUUUGCUCUUCAUUCCUCCCUUUAUUCCCCUUUUAAACCAAUGUUAAUUCCAUCUGUUCUUUAUUGAGGACAAUAAAGAGAAAAAAUCUUAUUUUAGAAAAUUGGUAAGUGUGAAGUGUCAUGCUAGGCAACCACACACGCGCGCGCACACACACACACACACACACACACACACUCCACAAACACACAUACAGUAAUUGCAUUGGAUGCUCAGUAGGCGGACCAAAAGGUAAUGCAUGUGGUGUAUAGGUGAGAAAACUGAAGCUAAAAUCAAUAAUGCAAUAAUAAUAAUAAUAGAGCAAUAAAAUAACUGGUAGAGCUUGGAUCUAUAGAAUCCCUUUCUUAUUUAUUUACAGUCCAGUCAUUGCCCCUCUCCCAGUACCCCCUCGCAGUUUCUCAUCCCAUUCCUACUCCCUCCUGACUCCAAGAGCAUAUUCCUCGCCCCCAUCAGGCCUCCCCACUCCCUGAGGUCUCAAAUCUCUUGAGGAUUAGGCUCAUCUUCUCCCACUGAGGCCAGACCAGAAGAAUAUGAGCCAAUAUACCUCUGCUAUAUAUGUGCCAGGUGCCUCAGACCAGCUCUGGUAUGCUGCCUGGUUGGUGGCUCAGUGUCUGCGAGCUCCCAGGGGUCUGGGUUAGUUAUGAGAUUGCUGAUCUCCUAUGGGGUCACCCUCAUCCUCAGCUUCUUCCAGCCUUCCCCUAAUUCAACCAUAAAGGUCUGCAACCUCAGUUCAAUGGUUGGAUAUAAGUAUCUGGGUCUGUCUCAGUCAGCUACUGGUUAGGCUCUCAAAGGACAGCCAUGAUAGGCUCCUGUCUGUAAGCACACCAUAGCAUCAGUAAUAAGGCCAAGCCUUGUGCCCCUCCAUGAUAUGGAUCCCAAGUUAAGCCAGUCACUGGACUACCUUUCCCUCAAACUCUUCUUCAUUUUUGCCCCUGUGGUUCAUUUAGACAGGAACAAUUCUGUGUCUGAAAUUUGGAGUGUGGGUUAGUAACCCUGCCCCUCCACUUGAGGCCCUGUCUAUUACUAGAGGAGGACUCUUCCCACUGUUGGGCAUUUUGACUAAGGUUGAGUCCUGAGUCUCUCACCUGUAAGAUCUCUGGUACUUUCUAGAGGGUUCCCCUACCUCCCACCCCCAGAGGCUGCAUAUUUCCAUUCAUUCUCCUGGCCCUCUGGGUUUCUCUCCUGCCCUGCCCCCAUUCCUCAUCCAGGUCCUCUUUUCCCCUCCCUCUCCCUCUGCCUCCCAUGAUUAUUCUCUUUCCUCUUCUAGGUGGGAUGGAAGCAUCCUCACUUGAGCCUUCCUGAUUUUUAAACUUCCUACAGUCUGUGGGCUGUAUCCUAGGUAUUCUGUACUUUUUGGCUAAUAUCCACUUAUCAGUGGGUACAUACCAUGCAUGUCCUUUUGGGUCUGGGUUACCUCACUCAGGAUGAUAUUUUCUAAUUCCUUCCAUCAGCUGGCAAAAUUCACGAACCAUAUUUUCUGUAUCUAUUCUUCCAUUGAAGGACAUCUGGAUUGUUCCCAGCUUCUGGCUAUUACAAAUAAGGCUUCUGCGAAUACAGUAGAUCACAUGUCCUUGUGGUACAGUAAAGCGUCUUUUGGGUAUAUGCCCAGGAGUGGUAUAGCUGGGUCUUCAGGUAAAACUAUUCCAGUUUUCUGAGGAAUGCCUAAUAGUUAGAGCAGGCUACCAUUUCAUUUUUAGGACUUUGUUAUCAUUAUGAAUAUUAACCAUUUUUUGUUUAGGUGUUAUAAUUCUUUUUAUUUUAUCAUCAGUAGUUUUAGUAUGCUCAGAGUGACUUUUCUGGUACAUGGAAACCUCCAUUUAUAGAAUGUAAAUGUUUUUCUUUUUUGUUGUUGUUGUUUCUGGAUUUUCUUCUUGCUUUGAAAGAUUUCUGUAGCAUAUAAUUAUAAAUACUAUUCAUUUAACGACCAUAGAAUUUUUAGAUUUAUGACUAUAACCCACCUCAAAAAUCUAACCUAUUAUAUUACAAAUAGAUCUUUCUUUCCAGGUACUUAAUUUAUUAAAUAAAUCCUAUCACUACUAAUUUGAACUAUAACUAAGAGCCUGAAUGUAUUUGGGUCUUUUGUGGUCUUCUUUUAAAAAUUAAUUUAUUUUAAUUUUAUGUGUAUGGAUGUGUACCUGUGUAUAUGCAUGUGUACCUCAUGUGCCCUCAGGGAUUAGAAGAGGACAUUGAACUCCCUGGACCUGGAGUAAUAGACAGUUUUAAGCCUCAUAUGGAUUUUGGGAAUCAAACCCUAGCCCUCUGCAAGAACAGCAAGUGUUCUUACACAUCGUCUCUCCACUCACUGUUCUUUCUCUUAAGUUUCUCUCAUCAUCUAUUUAUGCAUCAGGGUUGUAUGGUAUAUUUAUUUCCUUUUUUAUAUUCUUCACACUUCUACAUAAGUCUUUUAUAUACUUUAUUUUUAAAUAUUUAUUUACUGAAAGCUAUUGAAUAUGCAAAUAAUCAAAUACACACACAUACACACACAGGAAGAGAGAGAGAGAGAGAGAGAGAGAGAGAGAGAGAGAGAGAGGUCAAACAAAAUCCAAUUACUAUCUAACAAAAUGCUUUGCAGGUACUUAAGUAUUAUUGGUAGAGAUUGAAUUUUUAAAAAGGAAAUCAAAUCAAGAAGAAACUCACAUGUUGUGAUGGAAAAUACAAAAGAAAUAAAAGCUAUGCCUUUUGCACUUCAUUUUAAAACGAAGAAAACAAUCUAAAACAUUAUCAGUAGUUGUUUUUAUAAUAUUAGCAGUGGUUGUUUUCAGACUGGGAGUUUAAAGAAAUUUGUUGUUAGAUACGUCCUUUUAUGUUUACCAUAAUGAGCACAUAUUAUAUUUGAAGGGAAAAUUAAAUAUUUUCAAAACAAAAUUUUAACUGAUUGGACCUUCAUUUGGGAAGAGCACUGAGCUUGUUACUGUGUGAAUAAAUUUGAAAAACAUUUCUUUGGCCCAUAUGUUGUAUCAAAAUCCUGGCUAAAGUAUAGCUUUACCCAAAUUAUCCUUCAUCCUAAUGGAAUAAUCAGAGUAAAUGUGUGGGUCAGAGGACAAUGAGACAAAGAUCUCUAUAGAGAGAAACCCAACUAGUGAGUACUUGCCCAUCCUGUACAUGGAGACCCUGAUGCCCACAGAACUCGGUUCUCUGGCACAGCUCACUUUACCAGGGAGAGCUGAUGCAGGGAAAAAUAAAUCGUGCUGGGCUAUGGUACUGUGGGCUGUGGUCCUAACAGCUUGGCGUUGAUGACUGCUAGCAUCCCUACAGAGCAGACUGACUUCAGGAUGUCUAAGAUUCCCUGGGUUGUAUUUUCUCCUCUUCCAUAAGUAAAGCAGUCACAGUCACUUCUAAACUUGUCUGCUCAUCAGAAUUGUACGAGGAACGUUUCUAAAUGUUAAUUCUUAGCCCUUAUCAUGAAGACAGCGCUGCAUCAUUCCAGAUCUUCCCAGUUUCCACAGAGCACUUGAAUGGAGCACAGCUUCAAGAAUCAUGUUUGUGGGUGUGCUCGCCUCUCUCCACAUUCUUAGGAAGCAUCUUGUAGGAAAGGUUGCAGAACAAAGGGCAACCACUAAAUGAGAAACAAUCCAUGGAAGGAAGGCUUGCAAACGACAUUCUUGUGUUGAUUGUGAUUCAGAAAUACAUUUAUAGACAGAUGCUGUCCCCUGAGGGAUUUACCAAAAUACCUGAGGGGCAAUUGGCCAAUGAAAUAUGUGCUUUUCAAGUCACAUGUUUUGAGACCAAUCUUUCCCUAGGUAGUUUAGGGAAGAACUGAAAAGUUCUGUUAAUGUAUCACAAAGAAUGCAUGCUAUGUGUUUUUAAAAGGAAAAAUAAAGAUGGAGCAGGUUAAUUGAGACAGUUUAAUUAUUAUAAUAACAGCAGCCAUUUACUGGUCCUUUGUCUUAAGCCAAGAACAGUAUUGAAAUCCUUACCUGCUUUUAAUCUCUUAGAUAUUCACAAUAGCCCUAUCAGGUAUAUGUAUCUGUGUCUGUGUGUGUCUGUUUGCCUAUGUGGUUGUCUCUUUUGUGUGUGUUUCCUUAGGCAGGGUCCCUGUAUCCUAUACUGAAUUCAAACUCAUUAUAUCACGGAGGAUGACCUUGAACUCCUGAUAUCCCUGUCUCUGUCUCAUGAUUGGAGAAAUUGCAGAUAGGCUACCAUGUUCAUUAUGUGCUGAGCUUGGGAUCAAGCCAGGCUUUUUGCACACUAGGCAGUUGUUCUACCAACUGACCUAUAUCCUAGACCCAUGUGUGUUUUGUCUUAAUGCACUGCUUCCCAACUGAAAGCAGUUGGGGCCCUCAAGCAGUAUUUGGCAAUGUGAAAAUGUUUUUGGUUGUCAGAGUCUAGCCAGAAGCUGUUACUGGGAUCUAAUGAGUAUAUCUGGUGAUUCUGGCAAGCAUUCUGCAGAUCAGAGAACACCUCACAACAGAGGAUGCUCCUGCCCAAAGAUUCAAGUCUGAGAAAUUCUGUACCAAAGAAAUGAAGACUUGGGAUGACAACUAUAUGUGAAAGUACGUGGCAGCAUUACCCAUAAUCACUGGAAACUUAAAGCAACUGCUUUCAGUUUUAGUUCUUCACUUAGCCAGUUAUGUAUUUAUCUAGCUCUGUGUUUGUGCUUGAGUGUGCAUAUCCUCUCUGUGUCUAUCUCUGUGUCUGUCUCUCUCUCUGUGUCUGUGUAUCUUUCUCUCUCUGUAUCUUUCUCUCUUUCUGUCUCUGUCUCUGUCUCUCUCUGUCUCUCUCUGUGUCUCUGUGUCUCUGUCUCUCUCUGUCUCUCGCUGUCUCUCUCUGUCUCUCUCUGUGUCUCUCUGUCUCUGUCUCUGUCUCUCUCUCUCUCUCUCUCUCUCUCUCUCUCUCUCUCUCUCUCUCUCUGUCUCUCUCUCUCUCUCUCUGCCUGACAUAUAUGGGAAGGUCAGAGGACAACAUGUGGGAAUUCGUUCUCUCCUUCCACCAUGAGAAUCUUAGCAAUGGAACUCAGGAAGUCAGCCUUCACUGGCUGAAGCAGAUCACUGAUGUCUUUGAAUGGAUGGGUGAAUAAAUUCUGGUACCCCAUACAAUAGGUAAUAAAAGGGAGUGAAUUCCUUGCACACUGCAGUGAAUAAGAGCAGCACCACAGCUAAACCUUAUAGGCUGACAUUGUGCUAAGGAAUAGAAACCUCUCUUGAGAGUUACAUACUCUGUGAUUCCAUGGAAAUAACAUUCUGGGAAAGGCAAGGAAGAAAACGUGAUGGAGAACUAACCAAAGACUUCCAAAGAUAGAGAAAUAGUGGGAAGAAAGAGUUUACAGCCAAGUUAACUUCAUGAGGAAGUGCUGGAGAUGGUUGGGUUGCAUUGUAGUUACAUUUUGUUGCUGGCCAUAUGAAUGCAAUUAUGUGUUAAAAUUCACUAAAAUCCACCCCAAAGGUAAAAAUUUGUUAACCAUAAAUGGCAUUCUAAAAUUAAAAGAACGUAAGUUUACAAGAGAAUAAAAGCUGAGAUGCAGACUCGAAGUGCAAUGUAAGGAGGAUGACCCAGGUCCUUGUGGUUGUAGGAGCAGUGCUUGUCUUCAUUCUGGGAAGCUAUCAGUGGUCAGAGCCCUGAGCUGUAAAUUAAGGUGAAAGGCAUGUGUUAACUCAAUUGAUCAUGUUUCUCUCAAAAUUGUUAAGUAGGGGCGCUCUUAUGACACCCCAGCUCUGCCUCUGUCUAUGUACAGAUGCAGACCUCGGACUAAGCUACAGUACUUGCUCUGACCAAUCUCACCCAACUGGAUGCCCGAAAACAAGUAUGAAGACCUGUCGGUCAGCACAGAACCCUAGUUCCAAAAGUGCUAGCACCAGGAAAAGCCAACAGCCAAUGGAAGUCAGAGAGGCAGACAGUGACUUUGGAAUUAUUGUUCCUUCAGCUACAUUUCUCUUUUGCAAACCUCCAUCUAGUAGUGCCUAACUCUAACAUGAAAAGUUGUCUUGGGUACCAGAAACAAAACUGAGGAAAGCUGUCAGUGUCCUCAGGAUGUUAUCAUCUGAAACAAGGUUAAUGGAAGGUGCCUGGUUUAUCAUGAGGACGUCUAACACUCUCUCACAUGGUUUUCUUGGUAUAGGGGUCAGAGGCUAUCCUAAUCUGGCUGUCUCUGACAUUUAAUUCAGAGAAAUGACUACAAUUGCUUAGGAAACAACUUGAAAAGAACUUGGCUUAAAAAAAAAGAAAGAAAGAAAAAAACAGAGAAAGGAGAACUAAAUGUUUAGUUUUGUCCUCUAAAUAAUCACUCCAAGAAUAUUGUUCAUCUUGGAGGGAAAUAAAUCAACUUUAAAGUGAUGAGUUGAUAGUGGCUGGACUCUAUCUCUGCUAAAAAUCCAUUAAUGAAUAUAUGUCAAACUCUUAGAUCCUAAAGAAAACCUUAACAAUAAAAGCCAUUUUCUAUCAGUUUCAAGGAUAAUUAUCAACUACCACAUAAUUGUAUAUACAAUGGCCACAGGUUACUAAUAUUCUUUGGCUUCCAUUGAGUAUUUACAUGUAUAAAACUGACUUAUGAUAGCAGACUGGAUUUUUUUUUUCAGGGCCAGAAUAUAUGUUGCCAAACAUUUUAUGUAGACAAUGCAAAACAAUUCAUGCUAAUUAUAAAUCACUGUGAUUUGCAUCUUUCUCCCUCCCCCCCCCCAUGGAGAAAGGCUAGAAGAUGAGUUUGGAAGAAAAGACAACCUGUGUUUGUUAAAAGCCUGUCACAUGCCAAGCAUGGUCCGUGGUUUGUGUACAUUAUCCUAGGUGUGUCUAUAACUCUUCCAAAUCCUGUUUAUCUGUUAAGAUCUGGCUAUAGAGCAUCAAUUUAUCUCUGGCCAUUUUAAGCAAUGACCUCUUUUAGACUAUAAUUUAAUGACAUUUCUCCUUUUGCUUUCCUACACUCAGACUCUUACAUAAACCCCUCCCAUUUACCUCCAGGUUCACCAAAACUUCUUUCACUGAUUGUUAUCAACUCUACAUAAAGAGCUAUAGGUAGCUGAGGGCAGGUGGGAAUAGGAGAAGUGGCCUUCUCCAGGAAAGAGCACAGCAACUGGUUGUCCACUAACAAACAGUCAGCCAUGAAAACAUACUUACAGGUGGCAUUAUAUGGACUGAACAAGUUAUAUUUAGGAAUAUGUGUGCAUGCACAUAUGUGUGCAUGUGUGUGUGCAUGUGUGUGUGAAUGCAUUAUACAUGAUUAAAAGGUCUAGAAGAGGUAUCACAUCUGAAUCACCAAGUCUAACUGCUAGUAAGAAGUUGUAGACACCAUGGAAGUGUUUCUUACUAUCAGAGGCUCACAAUAGCUGACACAGGUACCUCCCACUGCCACUGGCAGACAAGUAAAGACUUGGGAACUUUGCUGUAGAAAAUCCUAGGGUCUCCAACAUAAAAAUAGCUGUGAAAGGAAAAGUUUGGCUUCUUUCUUGUAUCUUCCCAAACCAGGGCUUGUUGCUGACUUCAGUCACUCGGGCAGCUGGGUACAAGGUGUCUGCAAAUCUUCAACUUUAUCUUCCUAGGUGCAGUACAGAGAAAAUUAGAGGAGGGUAGAAUGGUUAGCGAAUGCCAACAACAUAGCACCCUCUACUCUAUGAGAUAGCUCAGGGUAUUCUAACUUUUGUACAGACUCUCAGGAAAGGGUGACAGCUUUAGGAGAAUCAUAUGAGUUAGAGGGCUGUCCUGGCAUUUCAAGUUGCACUGUGUUCAAGGUUACCAGUAAAUGAGUACUUUAUUCUAUGUGUGUUAUCGCAAGUGUCUUCAACAUGACCUUAUUUAAUCUUCCUUGUAAUUUUAUUACGUAAGUGCUACAAUUUUCAUUUUGCUGGUUGGUUUUUUAUAUAAAAAUGAACUGCAUUAACAUAGACAAUAAUAAUUAGAAUCAGAAUCUCAGGUACUGUCUUAGUUGGUAAUCUAUUACUGUGACAAGACACUAUGACCACAGGAACUCUUACUUUAAAAAAAAAAGCAGCAGCAUUUAAUUGGGGGCUUGCUUAUAUUUUUCAGAGGUUUGAUUCAUUAUCAGCAUGGCAAGAAGCAUGGUGGCAGACAUGCAGUCAUGGUGCUAGAGAAGCAGCUGGGCUUUCUACAUCCAGAUCUAUAGGCAGGAGGAAGAGAGAGGCUCUGGGCUUGGAAUUGGCUUUUUAAAAACUCAAAGCCCGUUCCAACGACACACUUCCUCCAACAAAGGCAUACCUCCUAAUCCUUUCAAAUAGCACCACUCCCUGAUGACCAAGCAUUCAAAUCUAUAAGCCCAUAAGGGCCAGUCUCACUCAAACCACCACAGGUACUACUCUCUCCUGAUUCUCUUUCACUGACAGCACACAGCACUCUUGAUGGUAGAUCCUUGAUCAGCAUCAUUGCUAAUCUCUGACAUAUUUCCUGAGAUCCUAAUGUCCUAUACCUAUGCAGUGAGCUGAUAACCCUCUCAAAGCUACUUGGUCUUCUUGAGUAACUAAUUUGGAAUAUUUGUAGAAAUUCAAGACCUAUAUGCCCUGUUUAUACAUAAAAAUGUUUUAUAAACAUUUUUAAUGUUUAUAAAAAUCUAACAACCAACUCUAUGGAAAUGAGGGCCUUGAUUACUAGCUUCUGCCAGUUUCCAUGCUAUAACCGCCCCCCCCCCAUUGUGGCCAUUUUAUACCAAUAUUAUAUCAACUCAACUAGCUUACAAAAUUUCUGAUAAUUUUUCAACUGGCUGUUGCAAAACAGAAUGACCCAGUUCCAGGGGAACAUUUCAUGGUCCUUGUUUGCCUAGAAUACAAUCAUGAGGAAGUUUGAAUCCUGUCCAUAUAUUGAGAAGUCUAAACACUAGAAAUUUCUUAAGAGAAGGAAGGUAGUAGAAGAAAAAAAUUAGAUCUCUGAAAGAAAAAGAAAACAUACAGUUGGCAAGCUCUAACAAGACUGGCUUGGUAAUAUCUCAUGGAAUCAGUUCGAGGUAGUGUUUAUUUGAUUGUUUGUUUGUUUGUUUUCUUUUCACCUCUGGGUUAAUCAUAAGGAAAUGAAAGGUUAUAUAUUUCACAGGUGAGCUCCCUCAGUGGGUGGAUACAUGACACAGGCGAAUAAAGUCUCCCAGGCAUUCUACAGAAUAGCUUCUACCCCUUUUGCCAUCAGGAAGAAUGGUCCUUUCCAUUCUUCCCAAACUUGCCUUGGUGCUUGGAAAGAGACACUCGUGACUGUAAUCUCCGCACUAAGAUGGCGGAGGAAAAGGGAUCGAAAUUUCAUGUUCAGACAGCUGUGUAUACCUAGGCUCUGUCUUGAACUCAAAACAAAAGACUGAGUAUAAUUUCUUCCUUUCUCAUCCCAUCUCCCAGUCUGCUGUUCCCUGGUUUAAAAGAUAGUGUUUUCUUCUUCUACACUAUUAAAAUCCCUAAUCUUUCAUCUAGUUCUCAAAUCGGAUGGGACACUUUCUCAAAUUCUCUACAGUACAAAUCAGUCAUCCUUUGAUCAUUUUCUUUCUUCAGGGCAUGUAUUUCAUUUUUCUUGGUAAUGUCACUAAUUGUGGCUUGCACAGGAUUUGCUGACUAGAUGGUGUGUCUUUGAGGGUUAGGGUGGUAGUUUGUUAAUGUCCAUGACUCUUCCAUGGACACAUAGCAAUUGGUCUGUCACGAGAUGUCCGUAAGUGUCGCUAACAUUGCUGAUAAAUGUACAGAGAAACAAUUGGCAUUUGAGUGUGUAUUCCAAAAACUAAAAAAAUAAAUAAAUAAACAGUUAGAAUGGAGACAGUUAGAAUGAAAGGAAAGAAAGGACAGAGAUUGAUGAAAAGAGUGAGGAAAGGGAAGGAAUAUCCACCUCCUAACACCUUGACUAUGUAAGCUAAAGUCUGGGGAUAUAUUUUUCCCACAACCUGAGACUAAAAUCACAAUAUGGAUGAAAACACAAAAUCCCUUUAAAGCACCUUGGAGCUACCUGCCAGAGUCAUAGAAUAAGAAUAAUCUGCCCUGUGUUACCUGUGUAUAAUUCAUCUUUUCUAGGGAUACACAUGUUCUCCACAAGAAGCAUUCUCUAGAGAGAUGCCCUUGGCAAGGCCAUUGAUCAGAGACCAUAGCUUCAUUUCAGUCCUAUGUUGCCAAUACUUACUCAGUAGCAAGUCCUUCUAUAAUGCAAACACCUUAAUCACUUUGUGUUUCUCUGAGCAUGUCAAUAAGUGCUCAUAUAUAAUAUAUGUAUGCUUACAGCAUAUAUAAUAUAUAUGGAUGUAUGUGGUGUUUGGUACGCCAUGCCUGAAAGAACAGCUGAUUUAUUUUGUAGCUUUUAUGGACUGUUUUAUUAUUCUCAACAACAUCACAUCCAUCCUCUUUGCAUGCAUAUUUUAUAGUACCUUGAUGGACUUAUUUGAUUCAACCCAGUGUUUUGAUGACAGCAUGGCCAUAGGAGGUGCACAUUAACCCACACAAAUCAUUCGCUCAAGUCACUUUAGAGUGUGAUCCUGCCCUCAGGUAAUUCGUGAACUGCCAGCUCUUUCAUGAUGGGCAAAAUAGCAUAGCAUGCCCUAUAAAGCCAUGAACCAAAAAAAGCUAUUGGCAAUUCCUGGAUCAACAGGGCAGUCUCUAAGGAAAGGCUGCUAACUACGUAAGUACAGUCAGUUAUUAUCAAUUUUACAUUGUUGGCUCUGCACCAUUGACUUCUUCUUUUCUGGCUUUUACCUUCCUUAUAUGGAAAGGGUAAGACAGAAUGUUAUGACUGUAAGUCACAUUCCUGAAUCAGAAAGAAAGAAAGAAAGAAAGAAAGAAAGAAAGAAAGACAGACAGACAGACAGACAGACAGAAAGAAAGAAAGAAAGAAAGAAAGAAAGAAAGAAAGAAAGAAAGAAAGUAUGCAACAAUAAGACUAAUGUGCUUAAUAAGACUAAUUAAAUAAUGAUCUAUGGGACUGUAAAGAUGGCACCAUGAGUAAGAGCCCUUGCUGAAGAAGCAUGGGGCCUGAAUUUGGAUCCUCAGCAUCUACAUAAGGAACCAGGUGUUGCCUCACACACCUGUAAAAGUACUGGGAGGGAGGGAGAGUGGAGACAGGAUUAUUUGGGGCUUACUGGCUACUAGCUAAGCCAAAAGAGAUUAAGCUCCAUGUAUAUCUAGAAAAAAUAGUCCCAAGGGAAUAAGGCAAAGAACAAUAGAAGAGGAGAAACAAUGUCUCUCUAGCCUUCCACACAUGCAUACACACACACACACACACACACACACACACACACACACACACUGGUAAGAAAGUCUGUGGCUUGAGUUUAAUAACUCCUACCUUUUUCUUCUUUACCCCAUCUGGGUGAGUACAGGCUUAAAUUCAAAAGUGUCUAUCUUCCUCCUUUUUGGUGCCCUACAAUUCAUUGGCUCAGUUAUAUUGCACCGUAGAACAAGAAAUGCUCUUUAGAAUUGGUGUGAAUGUUUAAUCUCUUUAGAAUGUUGUCACCCUUGGACUUCUGGACCUAGGCCAUGUGGUCUUAGAUGAGUAUCAUUGUUAGUCUUUAUUUUUCAUUUUGACACAGCCUAGAGUUACUUAGGAAGAAGAAACCUUAACUGAAGAACCACUUCUCCCAUAUUGACCCAUGGACAUGCCUCUGGCCAUUGUCUUGACUACUAAUUGAUAUGGGAGCAUCAAUCCACUAACUCCUCAACAGGGAGUCUUGAAGAAAGCUAGCUGAGCAUAAGCCAGACAGAAAAUCAUCAAGUGGUGUUCCUCCAUGGCUCUUUCCUUCAGGUUCUUAACAUAGGUCCCUUCCCGUUCUUUCCUUAAUUAUGGACCGUGACCUAGAGGAGUAAGAUAAAACUUUCUUCUACCAAGUUCAUUUUGGUCAAAGUGUUUUUUAACAGUAACCAGAAGGACUGAGACCCUGUUCAUUUUUAUUUUUUUAUUUUUUUUAUUAUUUAUUUUAUUUUUUAUUUUUAUAUUUUAUUUUUAAUUUUUUUGUUUUUUAUUACAUAUUUUCUUCAUUUACAUUUCAAAUGUUAUCCCAAAGGUCCCCUAUACCACCACCACCCUGCCCUGCUCCCCAGGCCACCCACUUCUGCUUCCUGGCCAUGGCAUUCUCCUGUACUGGGGCAUAUAAUCUUCAUAAGACCAAGGGUCUCUUCUACCAAUGAUGGCCGACUAGACCAUCUUCUGCUACAUAUGCAGCUAGAAAUGCGAGCUCUGGGGGUACUGGUUAGUUUAUAUUGCUGUUCUUCCUAUAGGGUUACAGACCUCUUCAGCUCCUUGGGUACUUUCUCUAGCUCCUCCAUUGGGGGCCCUGUGUUCCAUCCAAUAGAUGACUAUGAGCAUCCACUUCUGUAUUUGCCAGGCACUGGCAUAGCCUCACAGGAGACAGCUAUAUCAGGGUCCUGUCAGUAAAAUCUUGCUGGCAUAUGCAAUAGUAUCUAGGUUUGGUGGUUGUUGAUGGGAUGGAUCCCCGGGUAGGGUAGUCUCUGGAUGGUCCUUCCUUCUGUCUCAGCUCCAAACAUUUUCUCUGUAACUCCUGUCAUGGGUAUUUUGUUCCCCAUUCUAAGAAGGAACAAAGUAUCCGCAUUUUGGUCUUCCUUCUUCUUGAGUUUCAUGUGUUUUGCAAAUGGUAUCUUGGGUAUUCUACAUUUCUUUGCUAAUAUCCACUUAUCAGUGAGUGGAUAUCAUGGGUGUUCUUUGGUGAUUGGGUUACCUCACUCAGGAUAAUAUCCUCCAGAUCCAUCCAUUUGCCUAAGAAUUUCAUAAAUUCAUUGCUCCAUUCCUCUGUUGAGGGACAUCUGGGUUCUUUCCAGCUUCUGGCUAUUAUAAAUAAGGCUGCUAUGAACACAGUGGAGCAUGUGUCCUUAUUACAAGUUGGAACAUCUUCUGGGUAUAAGAUGGAUCUUCUGGUAGUACUAUGUCCAACUUUCUGAGGAACCACCAGUCUGAUUUCCAGAGUGGUUGUACAAGCUUGCAAUCCCACCAGCAGUGGAGGAGUGUUUCUCUUUCACACAUCCCUGCCAGCAUCUGCUGUCACCUGAAUUUUUGAUCUUAGCCAUUUUGACUGGUGUGAGGUGGAAUCUCAGAGUUGUUUUGAUUUGCAUUUCCCUGAUGAUUAAAGAUGUUGAACAUUUUUUCAGGUGCUUCUCAGCUAUUUGGUAUUCCUCAGUUGAGAAUUCUUUGUUUAACUCUGUACUCCAUUUUUAAUGGGGUAUUUGAUUUUCUGGAGUCCAGCUUCUUGAGUUCUUUGUAUAUAUUGGAUAUUAGUCCCCUAUCAGAUUUAGGAUUGGUAAAGAUCCUUUCCCAAUCUGUUGGUGGCCUUUUUGUCUUAUUGACAGUGUCUUUUGACUUACAGAAUCUUUGCAAUUUUAUGAAGGACUGAGACCCUGUUCAUUUUUAAAUGGUGCUGUAUUAGUGAUAGUCUGUUUAAAUCUGCCGGAUGAUUAUGGAACUUGUUUCACAGAGGUCAGUGUUGACAAUGGGCUACAGAACCUGAAGUUUUCUGCUCAGUCAGUACAUACACACUUAACAACCUUUUGUUGUCUGUCUUAGCAGUGAGGUGCUUACUAAAUCUACUAAUGAGCUCUGUCUUUAAGUCCUCCCCAACACCCAUGGCAUAAUCACCAAAAUUCUGGUGAGCAUACAUGUGCCUAGACAUGGGACUCAAGAGAGCAGAGUUCUGGUAAGCACUCAAGAGUCCCUUCUUCAAGAAACCCAUGAUCUUGCCAGGGAUAUUUUGCUGAGUUAUGAUCAAUACCUCUGUGGAGUGUGAGAGUGCCAUGGGAACACAAUCUAAUAAGCAGCUUCAUUUAGGAUACUUGGAGCCAGUCUUCUCCUAAGAUGUGGUAGUCUUCAUCACCACCACCACCACCACCACACCCUCCCAAUAAGCUACUCUCCCUUUCUACCUCAUUCUUUCAGAUAGCUCUGUCCAUGGUGCUGAACUCCUACCUAAUAACUAGGCAUCAUGCGGAAUACUACCAAAGAUCUAUAAGGGAUGUUCCCAUCUUAAACUUUCUGGUGAGUUUUGCAGUGGUCCUGGCAAUGUCUUUUAGUAACAAUGCCUGAAGAACACAUGAAUAAAUUUAUACGUAGGGAAACUAAAGUCUGAAGAAGCCUAGUAACUUAAUGUGGAUCACAAAACAAGUUCAUGACAGAAUCAAGGCCAGUUCCCAAACCUCAUGACUUUUAAAUAUCUGUGAUGGACCCUUCUUACAUGUGGAUCAUUUACUAUGGCUUCUGCUAUCCAUGGUAUAUAUGAAAUUGAAAAUUUGAGGAAGAAAUGAUUUAUCAAUUUUCAUUUGUAUGCUAUUCUGUGUAACAUUAUGUAACAUUAUCAAGAUACCAUUAUUUAGUUCCUCCCAUGCCCAGGAUGUAAAGCACCCUUGUGUCCAGUCUAUCCCCCUGCUACAUGUUACCUACAUGUUAGUAGCUAUCUUAGUUGUCAGACUGAUUGCAUCUACAUUGCCACUUAUGUUAAAACAACUCUCCCCACAAUUUCCUGAUGGGAAGGUCUGUUCUUACUAUAGAUCCUGUCAACAUCAAGAAGAAACUAUCUUUAUUCCCUUGUUAAACUUUAUCCUUUUCAGUUAAAAGAGGAAGUUUAUGGCUUCUCUUUGACCCACCCACGUUGCCAGCAUGGCUACUUUGGGGAUUUUGAAGAAGGAAAAGGAGCUGCACAUUAAUUUUUUUGCACACAUCCAACUAAAGUUAGAAAAAGUUAGAGUUCCAGUUGUAGCAAGUACUUCAGUAGGAUAGAAAAGCCAUUAAACCUGUGUGUUAAGACACAUAUAAUAUAUAUGAAGUUCAAUACUCAUGGAUUCAUGGAUUCAUGGGUUUAGUCAAUCUGAAGGGUUUUAUGACAUACUUUUCAUACUUAAAGGUGAUUGUUGUACUCUUUCCACCCCACUGAGUUCUCACUGAACUGCUUAUGCCUCCAAGAUCUUUUGUAUGCAUUGUAAAGUGUGUGUUCUUGUGCUUGUGAUGAAACAAGCACUCGUGAUUAUUCAGUGUUCAAGACUAAAGUUCUUAUAAUUAACGUUAAUCACAAUGAACUUCUCCACCUUGAUAUUGUUUUUAUGGCUACUCUUAAAAAACAAUGGCCCUUUCUAAAAUUGGAUUCCCUUUGAGUUUCCUCCUCUUUGUAAUUUACACUUUAUAACUAUUAUAAGGCAUCAUCUUACUUCACUGCAUUUUAAUAUCUCUAGACAUACAUGUAUAUUUAUAAAUGUGUCUUUAUUUAAUGUGAGCAAAAUAAUUUAGCUUAAACAGCAUUGUUUUUCAUGUAUGUGUGUGUGUAUAUGUGUGUGUAUUUGUGUGUGUGUGUGUGUGUGUGUGUGUGUGUGUGUGUGUGUGAUAGAGAGAGAGAGAGAGAGAGAGAGAGAGAGAGAGAGAAACUUUAUGAAACUGUUUGUAAAAAGCUUUGAACUUCGAGGUAAAUUUAUUUUUAUAUGAAAAUGAUCAUAACUAUUCAACACCAGCCCUCUCAGGCAAAAAUUGAGAAGGAUGGGAGAUUGUGUGGACACUGAGCGAGCCCAACAGAGUUGCUCAUAGGUUGACUUAAUUAGGGUUUCUACUGCUACAACAAAACACCAUGACUAUAAACCAAGUUGGAGAGGAAAGGAUUUAUUCAACUUACAUGUCCACCUUGCUGUCCAUCACCAAAGGAAGAAAGUUAGGAUAGGAACUCAAGCAGGGCAGGAUCCUGGACACAGGAGCUGAUGCAGAAGCCAUGGAGGGAUGCUGCUUACUGACUUGCUUCCCAUGGCUUGCUUAACCUGUUUCUGUAGAGACCUAUCCCUGGACCACCAGCCCAGGGAUGAAACCAUCCAAAUGGGUUGCCCCCCCCCAAUCUAUCAUUAAUUACAAAAAUGACUUACAACCAGAUCUUAUGGAGAUCUUCAACUAAGUCUCUUUUCAAUUAAGUCUCCCUCCUUUCAGACAACUCUAGUUUGUAUGUCAAGUUGAUACAAGACUAGCUGGCACAUGGGUGUCCUCUGUAAGGAGACAUCUUCAGUACAAGCCAGAUUUGUCAAAAUAACCAGUGAUCAGUCUAAGUAGCACUAGGCCAGUAUAAAACCACCAGAAACUAACAGAGGAGAAUCAGCUAAAUCAGUAUUACAACACUUUGAAGUUUAUUUAAAUGAAAGCCAGAGGAUCGGGAGAGAUAGCUACAACAAUCAGACAGACAUGGAACAGGGUUAUACUUUACCAUAGGGUUGAUUUAAGAGCUAAAUCUGGUCAUUUUAGACAUCAAGUGCCUCCUGGGCAUAUUAUGCACUUACACAGGGCAGGACAAAGCAGAUUAAGGACAUCAUUUUUCUUUGUCAGUAGGUCAGCUUCUCCUAGAAGCAACCUCACAAUCACACAUUUAUAACCCAUGGCAGUAGAAAUAAUAUGAACAUUAUUAGAGAGUCAAAGAGACUCUAGUGCUUUCAGUAAAAACCUUUAAAUUCCCAUUUCAUUAAAAAUUCUUCUCUGCAGCUGGUAGCAGAGAUUACCAUGGUUCACCAUCUGUGCAGAUUAAUGUUUACCAAAAACAAAAAAAAAAAGUGGGGGAGGGGAGGGAGCAACAGAUAAGAUGAAUGGCUUCCAGAUAAACAAAAAAGCCAAAGCAAAGUAUAUUUUCCUCUGUCUCUGUCUCUGUCUCUGUCUCUCUGUCUCUCUGUCUCUCUCUGUGAGUGUGUGUGUGUGUGUGUGUGUGUGUGUGUGUGUGUGUGUGUGUGUUAUACUUUUUUUACUUAAAUCCUGUGAUAGAAUGUUUAAGGGAAACUCAGGCUUAUUUAUUUUUAAAGACUGAAUAAUGUACAAACAGCCAAUCAUCAUCAUGCUGUGUUGAUGUACAUUUUAUGUGAAAUUCGUUUUGAGACGUCUUCAGAAUGCAUUGGAAAUAAUUAGGUGGGAUUGGUAUUUCUCAAUUACAUUUCCUUCUGGAAAGAUACUUUUUGUGUUUGCAGCUUGGACUCACAAGCCAGGACGCCAGGUUUCUGUCCUGGGAGAACAGGUUAUGAAUUGCUUCUAGGUGUGAAUCUAAUCUAAGAGUACAUCUCAUUCACAAAUAAUGGCAACCAGCAAAGGGCACUUAUGGCCUGCCCUUAAUGGGUGUCACUGGUGACAUAAUAAAAUAUGAAGUGUUUUGUUAUCUUUGUGUGUGUGUAUUUUCCUGUGUAUGCAGAUGUGCAAAUACAUGUGGCAUAUAGAGGCCAGAGAUCAGCCUUCAAUGCUACCCUUCAAAAGCAAUACUCCUUUUUUGAAAGAAGGUCUCUUAUUGGAAUCUGGGGCUCAAUGAUUAUUCUAGGAAGGCUAGCCAGCAAGCCCCAGGGAUGCACUUGACUCUGCUUCCCAGCACUGGACACCACCAUGCACAUCCUUUGCCCUCUUUCACAUGGGUUUUAGGAAUUGAACUGAUCUCUUCUUUCUUACACAAGUACCUUGUCUCAGCCAUCUCCCCAGCAUUUUGUCUUGUUCUCCUCACUUGCUUUGUAACAAGAACUGUAUUCACUUUACUUAUCAAUAGAUAUUCUUCCAUAGCCUGUCAGGUUAGGAACUAUAUCCAACCCACUCUGGAGGGCUCAUCUUACCACAAUCACAACUUUACUUUUUCACUAAAAGUCAAGAGUCUUAGUCAGUUAGGGAAGGUGUGAUUUAGUAGAUUCAUUCAUUCAUUAACAUUUCUAUUGAACAUCUACUACAUUAAGACAUACAUCAAGGCAGUAGAGAUACUGCUAGGAACCAAACUGCACAAGUUUCUUGCUUACAUUCUAGUGGGAAGAGAUAACAAAUCAGCAAAUAUAUAACUUACAUAGAAUGCCACCAGUGAAGGCCUAGAGAAAAUGAGUCAGGGAAUUACACUUAGGAACAUCAGGCUGCAGCAAUAUGGUUGUGAAACUGACUAUUCCAGUUAUACCUCUGAAAUAGACAUACAAACCCUGAUGGCAUUUGGUUAGUAAUAACCUAAUAGAAAAAAAAAUCAAUUCUACUUCUGCUCAUCUCUACCAUCUCCUAGAUGCUUGGUCCCAGGGAGGGAACUAUGCCUUUUCAUGCUGGUCUCUCCAUCCCCUCCCAGAACAUCAUGUGACACAAAAACUAGGCAUUCAGUGAUUGGUGGACCAAACUUUACUUGUCAACCCUCUCUGGGUAGCCAGUAUGCCCUUUGACACUUGCAAUAUCAGCUUGAGCUAACAGUUCCACCUCUGUGCUUCAGUUUGACAGGCAGUAAGUUUCCAGCCUGUGAGUUGCUUAUUGAUUUGACUAAUAAUAAGUAAUGGAGUGGCAACUGAAGUGACAUUAAUAUCAUGCGGAGAGGAAUGAGCACCAGGAUUUGGAAUGCUCUCCUGCAUUGGAGGCGCCUCUGCCACUCAGGGAGGAAUUGGAUUUUCUUGCACAAUGUUUUCUGUUUCACUUCCUCAGCAUCCAGAGCUGCAAAAUCCCAGCUGAAAAUGUGUGAAGGCAACAGUAUAGCUUUGUGUUGGAACUCAUAGUCUCUCCUGCAAUAGGAAGAAAUGGUGAUCAUGGAAGGAGCCCAAUGAAAGUUUUUAAAAACUCUAUAGAAGGAAGAAGACCAAAGAUUUUGAGGUCUGCAAUGCCAUAAAUAAAUCUAACCAGGAAAGGGGUAGAGGAGAGGUCAUGGGAGCAAUGGAGAAUACAGUUGGCUACCUAUGUCUUUAAAAACUGAUUAUUUAAUCUCUGAUGAACUCAACAAGUAUCUACUAAGAGUAUACCAAGUUUUAAGUACUUACAAACCAAUCAAGAUGCAUAAUCUCUGUCCCCAUGUGAAAAAAAUAUUUGGCUGGCCACUGGCUCUUGCUCCUAUAUUGUAGCUAGUAAUCAUUAAUUUUCUAAGCAGUAAGAGUAGAAUUUCCAUUCAUGGUGAGCAUUCCCCAAUGAUAUAACUUCUUCCCACAAGGCCAUUCUUCUUCAACUUUCCAUAAUCCCAGAAUAAUGCCACAGAGUUGUUUAAAUCCUUCAUAAUAGGUGCAUUCAAGAUUCAAACCAUGGUAGUAACAUGCAGCUGAUGGGGUUUUGCUAUGAGGUAACUCUAGUUUGUCCCCAGAUACACUAGCCAGAUGACUAAGCUGUGGGAGCUGACCACACAGUAAAGAUCAAUUGUGUCAUUAAAGAGUUAAAGCUUUGGGCUAUCUGAUCUCAAUCCAGUCAUGAGGAAGAGAGAUUGGUUAUGGAGGCUCAUUGCCUGAUUGCCUGGCCAAUUAUUUGAACAAUCUGGCAGGAAUAAUGGAACUCCAGUAAAAACUCUCCACACUGAAACUUGGGAAAGCUUUUCAAAUUGCCAGUACUCUGUACAAAGGGCAAUUGCAUGUUUGAUGGUGAUGAAUGACUAAAUUUGUGUUCUAAUCACAUGUACAGUUCUUUCUCACAUCAUCCUAAUGAAUUCUCGAAUUACCAUGAAAGCUAAAUUUGCCACCAGGUCGUUAAAACAAUUAAAGAGGAGACUCCCCAGACUCAGGUGACUUGGUGCUAGCGAAGGAGUUGUCUUGACAGAAUGAAGCCUUUUACUAUGAGAUUUGGCUUAACUUUCAUGAGUUCCUCGUGUAUCUUAGUCUAGAAAUAGAUCUGAAAAGCCACAGUCUCAGAGCAGUGAGAGAGCAGUUUGCACACAGAUGUGACACGGAGAGAAAAGCAGGUGCCAUCUGCCUCAUUGUGGCUCCUGAAUCUGGUGUUUGUAUUGCUCAGCAUUCUGUUACAGCUAAGACCUGGGAAACAAAGUGUGGCAGGUAGAAAAAAAAAAGGGGUGUUCAAAGCUGUCCUAGAGGAGAUUAUCCACUACAAAUCUAUUUCAGGGAUUUCAUGGCAUAAAGAACUUUUAGGAGAUGUGGAGAAAUGACAAACUGGGACAGUGAUUAGGAAGACCAAGCUUUAGGGAAGUCUUCUUGUCCAUAGGCUGUUUUUACUCCCCUGGUGGGAGCUCACAAUGGACUCUGAUCUCCCAGUAAUUGAUCAGAAUCUAAGGAAGGGCCUCUCUUAAGAAACAGAGCUAAAAGGGUCAGAGGAUCAGAAGGCAAAGCUAGGGACAGGGAGCAAAGGGCUGCUUCAGAUAAGCCCAUCGCAAUCAGCAAGAAUCGGAAGUGACCUGGGCAAAGUAAAACUUCAGCUGAAGAUGUACAAAGGGCAAAGUAAUGGGGACAGAGAGGGCAGCAUAGUGAUCGAUUUCAUGAUCAGCCCUUGCCUCCUGUGCUGAUAUUAGUAGCGGUUGUGGUAGCUAAAGUCCUCUCGCUGCUUGUUUUGUGCAAUGUGCUCACCAAGUCACUUCACUGACAGAGCUGGGGUCUCUGUUUUCCAGUUAAGUAUCUGAAGCUUGGAAAGGUUGUGCACUUUGGAGAACACGACCCAAUUAUAGGUUCCUGACCCUUUGUAACACAUUUUUCUUUAUGUGAUGCCUGAAUGUUUGUGUUUUCUUCUCUGCCCAAUGCCUAUACUGAUACCGUCAUUCCUAAAUUCAGAGUGUUUGGAGAUGGAACAUUCUGGAACUAGUGUGUGAGAUAUGAUUAUGAGAGUAGAACCCUCAACCUGGGAUUAACGAUCUUCUAAGGGAGCUAGUUUUGUUGUGUUUUCUCACCCUUUCCUCCUUCUCUUCCUCCUCCAGGAUUGCAGUGUUAUGGAGGUUCUGGAAGAGUGAGGUGAACUCUUAUGCAGUGUGAUCUUGCUCAUUGCACUGGAUACACAAGAGUCACGGAGCAAGAAGGGGCCUCCUCCUCGGCUGUUAUAGAUUCAGACUACCCAGUAAAAAAGCCCUACUAGCAUUUACUGUAGGCAAUAAGUAGCCUCUAUACAUAGGUGACAGAUCUUUCAUAUAGAUCAGGAUUUCAGAGAAUUAAAAAUGUACCCCUGAAUGUCUUAUUUUCAUUGAUUCUGGCUCCAUCACUAAGAGAAUUAAGAUAGAAACUAAUAAUAGCUAGAGGGUACCUAUUGUAUACAACUGGCUGUACUGUCUGGGUGAUUCUGUGUUGACCUCUUUCCAGCCCUGUGGAUUCCAUCAUGGAUCAUUUUAAGAAAGUCACAAAUCUGGAAUUCUUUUCAGAUGUGGCCUUUGGUGACUUGCCUUUCUCUGUGAGCCUUUGAAGUGUCUAGUCAUAUACAUAAAUGAUCUUUUAUUCAACUCUUAUUUUCUGUGUAUGCAUUCAUUGUUCACAUUAAACUUCUUUUAUGUAAAUUAAGUCCCACGAUAUGAGGGAAACAAAGCAAAGCCAGAUUAAUUGGCUAAUUUUCAAAGGCUUAUUCUACAUUGAUUGCAGCUUUUUUUUUCCCCAUGAAUUUUUUAUUAUGCUCUUUUCUUUUCGUUGUUGAGAGUUGCCUUUGAAACAAUAGUACGUAAAGUUGGAGUAUAGAAACUUGACCCAAAUCAUCUCAUUUAAGAAAAGAAAAACCACACAUCUGUGAUCAUGACCUAUUUCUCUUUUUUCUACCAACUCAGCAGCUUUAAAAUGUAAUAGAGGAGAAUGGGAGAGAAUUUUUCACAGGUGUUGUUUUUGCUAGUGUCUUUCCAAUCUUACACACUCACACACACACACACACACACACACACAGAGAGAGAGAGAGAGAGAGAGAGAGAGAGAGAGAGAGAUCCCUUUCUCCCUCUUCCCUCCUCCCCCCCCCCUUCUCUUCACAUAGAAUAUGUUUUUGGUCGUAUUUCUCUCUCACACACCUGUUUAUUUUCACCUUUGUGGUUUUAACCUGUGAAUUUAGAAAUAUGGACCAAAAGCAAGAGAAAAAUUAAGAAAAUUAGGUAGUCUGAGUGUGGAAGAAAGUUUAAAAGCAAUUCUUGCCCAUGCUGCAAACCUGUCUUAUUUAAAACUAGCAGCCCCUGCCUCUGGUUAAUCACUUUAUCUGGUGGAACAUUCACUGCCUUUCCAGGUAAUAAAUCCUCUGAAUAUUUUUUACCUAUAUAAAAUUCACGUUUAUGUUGAGCAUAAAUUACUUGGUCCCUUGUCAGUCCUUGCAAGCCUGUCCGUUCUUCAUCUACUGCCUAGUUCCAAAAGGGAAACUAAACAAGCCUCAGCCCCUCCCUUCCUUCAUUCUUUCCUCUUUGGCUAAAAGAAAUGACCUUUCCCUCUUUCCCUUCUACUUUUGUAAAAAUCAGGAAAUAGAAGACAGUUUCCAUUUUUUGUUUUUUUAGACCUCCAAAUAAAUUGAGGUGCCCCUUUUUGUAACAACUCUGCAGGAAAUGGAACAAUAAUUUUCUUGCUAAUAACAGUAUUUACAAGCAAGUAUAUUGUAUGUUUUGACUAGUCACAAACUUGUGAGUAUUUUAUUUGAUUAUUCUGGGUGUAUGGCUGAGUAUCCAUGAUCCAAACAUAGGGGUUUUUUUUAAUUUUUUAAAAAUAAAAGUAUAAUUACAUCAUUUCUCCCUCUCCUUUUAUUCAUCCAACCUCUCCAUGUAUCUCCAACCUUGCCCAUUCUCAAAUCUCUCUUUUAAUUUAAUAUGUAUAUAAUAAAAUAUUAACAUAUAAUAUAGUUACAUGUAUUAUAUAAUAUACACAUGCACACACACAUAUGCACAGAUAUAGAUACAGAUACAGAGAUAGAUAGAUAGAUAGAUAGAUAGAUAGAUAGAUAGAUAGAUAGAUAGAUAGACAGAUGUAAAAUGUGUCCAGUCUGUUACUUGCAUGUAUAUGUUUACAGGGCUAACUACUUGAUAUUGAAUAACAAAUUUAGAGGCUCUUCCCUGGAGAAUACUAUUUCUCCUACUCUCAUCAUUCCUUACUUGAAAUUUUUGAAAGUUUUUAUUUUUGUCAUAUAUUAAUAAUACAUAAACAAUGGGUUUCAUUAUGACAUUUGUAGAUAUGUAUUAAUUGUGACCAUAUCUGCCCAUCUUCUGUCCCUUCACCACUGCCCAACUCUCUUCCUGUACCCAACUAGUCCCCUUCUAUUUUCUUAUUGUGAGGGGGUGAUUGUGUGUGUGUGUGUGUACACCAAAGAAUUUAGGAUUUCAUGCUGGAGAACAGCUAAGGGGUUAUUCACAGAAGCACAGGCAAAUCCUGUGUGUUUUCAGCUUUUGGACCUCUGGUUAAAGAGAAAUUCUAUUGCUUUUCAAUGCCAGUCAUAUUAAAUAUUAAAAUCAACCUGUCUGGGGAUGCUCAGGAGGCAGUAGCCACACCAAGCAUUUUAAUGGAUCUAGAAAGGUGUGGAUAAUAGUAAAAUAUCACAGAAUGAUACUGACAAGGGACUGGCACCACUUCUACAUCAGAAAGAACAAAAGGAAGACAUAUGAACUAAACCCAAGAAACUUGGCCAGGGAAUCCAGAUGCCAACAUCUGCAACAGGCAUAUUAUUUGGUUAUGGCUGGUAUCUCGGUGUUGAGAGGACACAAACCCCAGAGCAUUCCUUGCUGUUGCCAUGUCUUUGAUCUCUGAGGGAUCAUGAUGAGCUGUUGAUGCCAUGCUGAAAAAGCUGGGUAAGCUGCAUGCUGCCACUGUCAAAAUAAAACAGGCCUAAGUGGGAGAAGAGAAUUGAAGCCCCACAAUGUGGCGAGGCCUGGUGUGGGGAGGGAGAACAUCUUCUUGGAGACACGGGGAGGAGGAAUGGAAUGAGGAACUAUGAGAGGAGGGACCAGGAGGGGGCAAUGGCUGGACUAUAAAAAAAUAAAAGUAAUAAUAAAUAAAUAAACAAACUAACUACGAUUUAAAAAAUAAAAUAAAAACCUCUGAAAUCUGGAUGUAAAGCCAAAAGACAAUAGCCCCACAAGUAGCAUAACUGAUACUCUACAUUAAAAUUUAAAAGAAUUUUGUGUCUUUACUGACACAGUAUGAGAUCUGCCUGAUAUACCUUACAAGCAGAAAAGAGUAGAAGAAGUAAACCAAGUGCUUAGUUCAGUACCUGAGUCCCAUACUCAUGUUCUUUUCAUUUUUUCCCCCAACCUCACUUUACCAGACUGGCUGCUGUCAGAGCAUCUAUUGUGAAUACACCCAAAGGCAUUUUAAUGGGGGAGAAAAAUCAAUAACUGCUGAGCUGUAUUUAUAUAUAUUUGAAAUAUGUAUGUAUAUCUCACUGAAAUAUAUAUAUAUGAAUGAAAGUCUGGGAAGAGGAAAGAACAUACUUGCUGCUGAUCCUCCAAACCCAGUGUCAUUGAGAAUUAAGACAGCUCAACUAGGGAGAGCAUGAAUGCUCCAGCAACACCUAGAAGUGAGUGUACUCACCAGCCAAUCACCGUCCACCAAAUUUUCAGCCAAUCAUCUUCCACCAGCGUUUCAGCCAAUCAUCUUCCACCAGUUCUUUUCUGUUCUAUCUUCUGUGCAAAACUACAGCAUACAAUGAAUGGCACACCUACCUAACGCCUCCAUCCUUAGCAUGCAUCCUCUUACUACCUGCGUUGUAGUGAGGCUUCCAGCUACUCAUUCUUUUUUUUUUCUGCAUGUUUCUGAGAAAGAAAACAAGACAGUAUUGUAAUUGAAGCCUUAGGACUGAUUGGUGAAGCAAAGGGAACUACAGAUCUGUGCUCAAACCUCUCUGGGAUUUAAUAUUUCUAAAUAGGAAGGGCUUAUUUCAUAUGGUCAGUGCUGGGUCCUAUAAAAGCAUCUACCAUUUAAAAACUCAUGCUUGAUGAGUGCUAAGUCCAAAGAGUCUUAAAAGACCUGAAAAAGGGUUUCCAAGAGUGUGACUGGAAAGGAUGUAAGGAGUAAACAGAAUCCAUUCAUAAAGAAAAAAGAAACAGAUAAAGAAGUUAGAUUGUAAUAAAUUAAAAUAAAAAGUCACCUUGAUUUCUACCAGCACACUUCACUUCCUGCGUCCCUGGAGCCUGGCAUGGUCCUAUAGGAACAGUUCGUCACCUCUCACUCUAGCCAGACCACAGCUCUAGACUUUUAUUAAAACCACGUUGAUUCUAUAUGUAUCAUUGUUUCUCAGUCUCCCCAGUCCUCAGAAUCCUUAAAAUAAGUAAAUCACCAGAUACUGAUUGCUCCCCAAAUUAGUGAGUGACAUUUAAGAAGCUCUUUAGACUAUAUAAAGUACCUUUGGAUUAUCUUGAGUGCUCAUAGAGGCUCUGGGCAAGAAAUAAUAAUGUUAUUUCUAUUUCCAUGUGAAUAAACUGGAGCUCAGAGGAUUUAUAUGGUGAGCCAAAAAACUCAUCAAUUGCAGAUGCUGUUUAUUUUGGAAUUGUUAUUGUUGGGGGUGGUAGUGUUUAUUUGAGAAAAGUUUCAUACUAUAGCCCACUCUGUCCUGUAAUUUGCUAUGUGAUCCAGAUUAACCUUGAACUCCAAUUGACUCUCCUAACUCAGCCUCCCAACUGCUGAGUUUGCAGUCAUGUACAACCAUACCUGGUGCAAUCAGAGACUCUCUUAAUGGGUCAAGACUUAUACUUAGACCCCUGGACUCCAAUACAUAAAGCCUUUCUGUGGUCCAUGUGAGACAAGACCCAUAUGGCUUAGAGAAUCACUUGUCUUAUUGCAUGGUUGAGUCUUCUUAGUUUAUUUCCAAUUCUAGCCUAGACUACAAUCGUGGUAACCUCUGUAGGCCAUUAUUCCAGGAUGAAGGAAAAAUGGCUGUCAUAAAGCAGCUGAAGAGACACCCUCAUACCAGUCCACCAUGUGAUGACUAUGAACCUAUCUUCAUCCUCUCACAGAUGAGCUAAGCAAGGGCACAUCUUCUUAUAGAAUGGAGCUCUGAAGAAAGACAAAGCAACAGGUCAAUAUCUGGUGCCAGGAUUCUGAAGAAAACAUCCACAUCAUUUGUUCAUACAAAUAUAGUCAUGAAAUUUCCAUUCUGCCACAGACUCGAAAACCCUUCCCUGAGGUGGGAAAGAAAAUGCUGUCAAUUCAACAAUUAUGAUAAUAAUUAACUUUUAUUGGGCAUUCAUUUCAUGUUCCCAUUCUGCAGACGGGAAUAAUAAAACCUCGAGAGGCUGUUAGCUGUUCCCAUAGGAAUUUAGAGGCAGCAGUGGGAUUCAGUCCUUGUCCCUCAGAGUUCAGCAUCCAUCCAUCCAUCCGUUACCAUCACACAGACUAAAUUCAAAAUCUACCAUCAGCCUCUUUUCACUAGCCACUGGAAUGAUUUCAAAAUGAUGUUUUUCUCAGUGGGUUUGCACAAAUGUGUGAGUCAUAACAAUUUACAGCAUUCCAGCAGAGGCAGGGACCAAGGCACAUUGGAGCCAAGUAUUUUAAUAACUUCUUCUGCUAGCAGUUAUAAAAAUGUAAUUGUUGCUGCAGGUUCAAAGAAUUAAAAUAUGGCAAGGUAGAGGCACUCUAAGAGCCAGUUUUCGGGGCUAGGGCUUUGCCCUUGUAAACAACUUUUAUAUACCCUGUUGGAGAAUGCAUAAUGAAAUGACUAACAUUUGCAGCCGGAACUGGGGCUAUUAUACAGCAGCUGAGUGUUUUGUAGCUUGAAAUCUGUUCAGGGCAACACUGGUAGAGGGGGUAGGCCAUGGGGACUUCUUGUCUCUGCAUGGUCAUUUUUUCCUCAUUCUCUCCAUGAGAUUGGUCUAUAGGAAACCAAACAGAGAGAGCACCAGGUGACUCAUUCCGUGACUUCUUGGUGUGGAAUGAAAAUCUCCUCUGUUCAUUUUGCUGCUUUUGUCACCCAUGUUUCUUCACUCUUGCUCCUGAAGCUGGAACAUAUGGUUUUCUUUGCUUUUAAUCUUCCCCAAUGAAAACUUCAGGUGGAACAUUCCAGGGGCCCACCCAGAACUCAGCAAGGCGCGACGUUUGCAUCCUAAUGAAGGUAUUCUUCCGAGAGAUGCAUGAUCCCUUCCUCCUCUGCCUCCCGAUUCCUGUAUGAAUAGCUACAGUGGCAGUUCUCAGUUAUGAGUAUUAUCCAGCUCUUCUUCCCUUGAAUUUCAGAGGGCAAGCCUCUCCCAAGGGUAGCAUGAUUGAGGCUAAAGAGAAACUGAAGAAUUUCUCCUUUAAUAUCAACCCUGACUGUACUAAAAAUGAGCAUUUCCUAAGGGGAGACACUAUUGCAGAAUCACCGAGAUAGUUCUUAUGCAGGCUUUCCUGCAGACGGUCCAAGAAGUCAUAAAAUUAUGAAAACAGAAUAUUGAGCUUGUAUCAUCCACCAUCGCUGAUACAGUGCAGACUGUAAAGACAGAAUGUUCUAUUUGGGGCACUUUCAUAUGAAGACAGCUAUGGGAAUAAGAAUGUCAGAAUAUUUCUCUUCCCCUAAAUAGAAUAGUAGUUUACAACUAAAAAUAAGGAGAAAAAUACACAGAACUGUGCCUGGCCAUAUGUGGCAUGGAAGGAAGAUUGCUCAGGAAUUGCCUAUAGGGGAUGGGGUGACUAUAUAACAUGCCCAGUAUAAUGCUGAACACAGAGGAGAGAGCCUGGGUGAGCAAUACCCAUGACGAUGCCAUGUUAUUGGUAGAUAAAAUGGGCAAUGCAGUCUAAAGACAUGUACUGCAUAUGGGAGAAAGGCAGCUUUUUAAAUCUGUCUUUUCUUUAAUCCUCUCUCUGCCUUGACAAUCACAGUGCCAUGGAUCCUCAGAACUUUGAUGUUUCCAACUCUAAAAUGAGGAUGCUAUUACCCUUUUAAGAGAGAUGUGAUAAGGGCAAGUGAUAUCAUAACUGGAAAAAUGCAUGAUGACAGCAGGCAGUUGGACUAUGGCCACUAAUAUUAGAAUGGACUACAGAUAUAAAUCAGUAACUUCAGUUAAUUUGGAAUAUAAUAAUUCCUUUAAGCUUUUAUUUACUGAAAUACAUCUUCCUUCCACAAAAACUAAUGUGUUGCUCUACACUCAAUAUAUAAUAAAAAUCAAUCGCUCUAUCUCUGUCUACUAUAAUACACAUAUGCAGGCCAUGGUCUAGCCCCCAUUUACUCUAAUUUAUUGUCCUGAACUGUGAACUUUGCCUAUGCCAAUCCAGACCCUCAAAAUGUCAUUUUUUUUUCUAUAUGAUGAGCCAUUUUAUCUACCUGUCCAAAUUCCUACUACCUUCCCUAUCCCUAGGGCCUGUUUUUUGUUUUGUUUUGUUUUGUUUUGUUUUAAACAAGCCCUAAUUUCAAGUUCCUUGGACCUAACCUUCCAUUGUGCCUGGAUCCCAGCAUGCUAUUGAAAGAGGUUUUGCAUCUUUUCCUCUGCCCCAUAGGAAUGGGAGAGCCAGUGGGGACAGGAAUUGUGAUAGGCUUGUAUUUGUUUCCCUUCCUGUUGUGGGUCAAGUCAAGUGGUGUUGCUUGGAGCCAGUUCAGCAUUCACACUGCCCAAUAACUGUUCUCAAUUUCAUAGUUGUUGAUUUGUGAUUGUGUGUCAUAGUGUUAUUUUGUGCUCCUUGGCAGCCACUUAAUUUAUAGCUAUCUGUCCAUUUAUUUUAAGUGUUUCUAGACUCCUUGUGGUCUCAGGCAAAGCAUUCAGAGAGCUGGGGAGUCGCCAUCAUCAUCUUGCUCCAACUGAGUCGGACAACAAGUAUAUACAUCAAGUCACCCAAGAGAAGCAUGGAUACAAAGAGUUAAUGAGUAUAAAGAACAUCCUCUCUUGGUCUUGGGGACAGUGGCCUUCCAGAAAAGACAAGCCACCUCUACUUAAUGGUUCAGUAAGAUUGGCAUCUCAGGCAGCCAGAGACACCCAUGCAUAGAGUAGGCUACUGACCAGUCCAGGGACAGCAGCCAGAAUCAUGCCCCCUUGGCCAGUCCUGCCCAUCUGUAAGCAAAGCAGCCUGCAGCGUUGAGACUUCCAGCAUGGAGAUAUAAACACAGUUUCCAUCACUCUGCUAUCUAGCAGUUUCUGGGUUUACUUAUAUAGUUUUGUCCUCCUAAGACUUAGGGUAUAGGUCAUAUUUACUUACAUAGGUAGUGUGAUACAGAAGGAUCAAAUUUGGAAAAUACUCACAAAGAGGUGAACUUGCCUGAGCACCUACUUGGUGACAUUGCGCAUUGUGCAUUGUGAAGGAAGCAUCUGCCUCCCUUCACUGACCCUUCAUAGCCACUCUAAGAAGGAUAUUCUCAUUCUGCAUGUGGCAACGGCUGUGAAUUGAGACUUAGAGAUAAGCAGAUUCUCCAAUGCAGUGUAGCUCCUGGGAGGCAUAUCUAGAACUUAAUCUAGAUCCUUACAUUACCAGGAUGCAGCUACUUACUACACACAGUUGGAUUCAGAACUGAACUUAAAUCCUAGCUGUGUGACUCUGAGCAAAAUACUUAACCUUUCCAAAAUCCGUGAUCGGGAAAUUCACUAUUCUUCCCUUGAAAUUUCAGUGACUGUUAGAGCUGAUCACGUCCACUCACUGUGGUAGGAUGAAGAUCACUGGUAGAGUCUCGGUCUCCUCUCUUUUAACUCACUGAAGAUGUAUCUGACUGAAGAGGGUUGAACCAUGGUCAUAGACUACCCAGAUAUAUACAUGCAACCUCACAACUAUGGACAAAUGAGGACCACAAGUGACAACAGGAGCUUGUCUUGGGCUCUAGAUGACUUAGGGCUGUAUUCUGCUGGGUCCUGGUCCAUCACUCUUGUGUCUCCUUUAUUAUUGCAUGGCCGAAAGAAGUAUAGCAGAUUUUUUUAAAAUAUUUCCAAAUAGGAGUGUUUUUUGUGUGUGUGACUUUCUGGAUAACAGCCAGAUAGGUAGAUUUUCUUUAAUUUCUCUCAGACUAAGCGGAUUUAAGAUGAAACUAAGAAUGGGAGCAGCAAAGAGACUCAAGACUUUCUUUCUUCACAGCUAGUUCUUACUAGUUCAAUAAAUAUUUGUUGGUGACCCAAUAUUUGCCCAGUAGUGAGGGAAAAGGUGGUAGAUAAGUGGUCAUAAUCCUAGAGUUCUAGAAAUUUCCAAUCUAAGCUAGGAAGAUUGCUCAAUGGUGAAGCACUUAUUAUGAAAGUGUAAGUACAGGAGUUUAGAUUCCAAGAAUCCAAACAAAAGCCAAGCAGGCAUUGAGGCUGCAUGUGAUCCUAGUACUAACGAGGCAAACACAGCAGAUCCAUAGGUCAGGCCGAGUUGAUUCCCUGAGAGAUGCUGCUGUUGCAGUAAGUAAGGUGUACCAUUAUCAAAGAUACCCAACAUCAACAUUAGAUUUACAUACACACAUAUAUAUACACAUAUGCAUCCACACCCAAGUCUUCUCACACACAUCUUUAGAUAGAUGAUAGAUAGAUAGAUAGAUAGAUAGAUAGAUAGAUAGAUAGAUAGAUAGAUAGAUAGAUGUACUGAUUCCAGAAAGUUCCAGCCUAAUCUAAAGACCUGGCCCUAAAGUAAGUUGCUUUUGUACAGAUUUUUGUAAGGUAAAGUAAAGAGGAAGAAUAUAAACAAGGAAGGGGCAAGGAGAAGGGCGAAGCAUGAAAAGAGAAGAGUCAGGGGAAGGUAAGGGACCAGGGGAAUUGGUAAGAGUGAAGUAUAAUACCAUUACUUUGUAUACAAGCUUAAAACUUGACCACCAAAGUGGUAAAAUGAUAUUGUAAAAUUAAGAGGAUAUUUUCAAUAGUUUUUAUUGUAAAAUUAUUCAUGUGCAUUAAUUAUGCAUAUUAAUGUGGCUUUCUGUGACAUUUCCACACUUGCAUAUGCUUUGCCUAUGUAGGAUCCUCCUCUCUAACCACUCUCCAUCACACUCUCCUCUUUCCCACCUUCCCCCAGUCCCCUUUCCCCUCCAGACAGUCCUUCUGUUACAUCUACUCAUCUUUUUCCUUCUAAUCUCCACAUAUGAGAGAAACCAUGUGAUACCUGCCUUUUGGCAAUGGCUUUAUUUUGUUUAAAAUAACAGCUCUACCCAUUUUCCAGUGGAUGACAUGAGCUGUUUUUUUUUUUUUUUUAAUAGCUCAUAUCACUUCUUAGUGUUAUACCAGAUUCUCUGCAUGUGUGCAUCUUUACUGAGCAUCUGGGCUGAAACCACUGUUGUCUGUAGUGAAGAGUGCUGCCCCAAGCCUGAGAACGCAGGUAUCCUGUGCACAUCAACUUCAUACCCUUCAGGGAGGCUUUGGUUAUGAGCCACUGAUCUUCAUCAUCUCUGUGCCAGUAUCAUGCUGUCUUGGCUGUCCUGGCUCUGUGGUAAAUUUUGAAGUCAGGUAUUUGAUAACCCCAGCAUUGUUCUUUUUGUUCAGGGUAGCUUUGGAUGUUCAAGGUCUUUUGUUCUUCACAGACAGCCAUGUGAGAACAAAGAAGGGGAAAGUAGUGCAUUCCAUCUGGCAGUGAAGUCAAGGAACAAAAUAAAAUUUGCUCCUUAAGCUGUGGGACUUCCUAGGUGUCCUAUAUAAUCCUUUCUCUCGGAAAUGAUGGCAUUCCCUCUUCUGCACAGAGGAGCUGUUUUAUUCCAUGACUUGCAAAAACCCUAUUGGAUGGGAAAAGUUCAGAGGAGCCUGGGUUUGUCAUCUCCACCUAUGAGAUAACUAGAAGAUACUAUUGAACCUUGACGCCAAGAAACCUUUCACUUACUAACAAGAAAAAGAGGCCCUGGGUGAUUCCAGUUUAAGCUGUCCUGUAGAAAACAUUAGGAAUUUGUUCUUUAUGAGUCUUGUGGAAGGGCUGGGGAGAUGACUUGGUGGCUAAGAGCACUUGCUGCACAAGGAGAUGUAAGAUCAAUCACACACAAUCACCACAGAAACCAUGCUAUGCCCAUGAAUGUCUAUAACCCCAGCCCUGAGAAGAAUUGGACCAGGAGGAUGAUUGGCUGUCACUCUCCUAGGUCAGUGAUAAGUAUAAAAUCAGGGCCCCCAAUGUCUUCCUCUGGCCUUAAACAUGUACCCAAACAGAUAUCUGCACAUAUACCAUGCGGAUUUGUGUGCAUGCACACACAUACAUACACAUGUACAAAAUUUAAAACAAAAAUUCUGUCCUUUGGAGUCUUGAAGAAGUGUGGAAGGCAGUUUGACAAAAUAAGAGACUAGCCUGUGUUACAAAUGCAAUGAUCUAUUCAAAAGCUAUGUGAUAAGAGAAGCUCAAUUAGACACACUUUUUCUGAACCAUGUUACAGGCCCAGCCUGUAAGCUGCCCCUCCCCAUUAAAGAAUGGGCCCAUUCCAGUCCUUGUCUAACCAGUUGCAAGGUGCUUGAUCCUUGAAGUUCUUUGACAUCUCCAAAGAACAGAUGGGUGAGCCAGUGCCAAUGCCUCUGUGACUUUCUCCUCUUGCAGCUGUUUUUGCCCCUUUCACGUUCACAGCUUUCCAGGUGAAUUGUGGCUGCUCGUGUGUGGAUUUCCACCAGCUCCAAGUUCAGUGCAAGCACAAUGGUUGGCAAGCCUGGUGUGAUCCCUGUAGUUAACUUUGCACUUCUAAACAGCCCAGUAAGCCUAAUGUGUAAGCACUUCCCCUUCUUCAGACUCCAAGACUAACUCACUUGCCUCUCCACUACGUUUUCUACAGCGCUGAGGAAGUUCUGUUUACUCGUCAGAUGUUCAUUUGUAGAAAUGAGACGCUAACUGAAGACAGGGUUUCAGGUUAGAUGGCUCCACACAUAGUUACUUCCUUGGACUGAACGCUUCCACUUUAAUAACUUAUUGAUUUAUUGAUAUGACUUUUACUAAAAGCUGGAAUGGUUUAAUAUGCAUGAAAAAUAAAUGAUCUUAUAUAUAAUAUAUGCCUUUCUCUGUGUAAAUGCAUGGCCAUGAAAGUGCUCAACAACAAAUGUCAUCUCAUCCUUGACAAAGACCAUCUCCAACAAGAAAAACUGGUGACCAAGACUCCUAAAAGCUCUGCAGAGUGCAGCAUGCAAUGACUACCCAUUGAGAGCUCUGCUCCUUCUAAUUGAGCACAAGGGGACCUCUCACAAAAAGGCUCCACUUCUGUGUGUGUAAUGGAUACACAAGGGAUGCUGCGUCCAUGUUUUUGCAGAUGUGGCACAAAAGAGUCUGACCCUCAUAGCUUACGCUUGUUGUAAUUAUGCCACACAUUCCAUGACCACAUUCCGUGACCAGAGCUAGUUCUUAGCCCCAAGCCUAUUGUAAUCACAUCCUCUAUUCCUCUAUUCUCUCUCUCUCUCUCUCUCUCUCUCUCUCUCUCCCUCCCUCCCUCCCUCCUUCUCUCCCUCUCCUCCUCCCCCUCCCCCCUCUCUCUGAAAGCCUCACAUAUGCAAGGCAAGUCUUCUACCCUUGACCACCUCCCUGACCCAAUUUUCUAUUUUUUAUGAAAUAAUUAUAUGUAGAAAGUAGCCACAGAAGACCCCAUCUUCUAUCCACUUACUCUCAGAAAACACUACCCAAUCACACUUGGAAGAUAAAACUCAGAUAUUCUAGAUAGCUGUGGUAAUUUCAUACCCAUACAAGGAAUGACAUCAGAGGCAAAUGUGUGACCCUGUUCAGGCUGGUGCGAUUAACUAUCUGGGUGCACAUGGGAAGUAUUUCUGAAAAGAGGAACAAGAAAUAAAAUGUUCCAUCUCCGCUGAUCCUGGUAUGGCUUCAUCAAGUGCUAAGCAAAACCUACAGAGCAAACACAGUCACAGUGGAUUGGGUCAGCAUCCCCACUCAUGGAGAUCUUGCUCUGUGGGACAAUAAUGUUACUAAAUUUAGAAUGAGAGGAUUUUGUCUGAUUUCAUUGUUUCAUUUUUAUUUUGAGUUUUGUCUGUUUCUACAAAAGAUGUUGAAAAGAGUUGCAAAAAUAAUAAAAAACUGACCUCACUCUGUCCUUUGCUUUAGAAGGAACUUCUGCCUGUGCUUUUCUGUGAUUUUGAUAACUGCCCAAGUUUUCUUCAGGAUAUAUCAAACCACUCCCUGAUCUGAUUUUCCAUGAGUCUUUGUACAGUGCAUUCUGAUAUUCACCCACAGGAGAAUAUUUGAAUGUUUGUCUUUCUAUAUACAUGCAUGAGAUCUGCACUAGAACACUGUCAGGGCACCAUGCUGUAGAAUGUCUACCAGAGAGGAAGGGGUAACCCUCGUGCAUGCUAAUAAAGCAACACAGCCAGCAUGAUGGAUGUGUAUGAGAGCCAUUAAAUGAGAAAGGGGGGGGGGGAUGACGGUGGAUCACCAGUAUCAGUACAUGUAUGUAGAUAGAGUUGCACAGAAUGAAAAAUUGACACGACAUGUCGACUGUAGAGUUGAUGCAGGGCCAUGAGGUUCUGAAGACAAGAGAAAGUGAGGGGAGGGAGAGGGGGUACUUCCUCAGGAUGGGCAAAGGAGACUGUGUUGUACAGGACUAAUGAAAGUGAAGUCAUUUCUGUCUAGCCCUCUUCCUAUCAUGUACCUUCCCAGAAUGUUAAUCCAGUUCCUGACCAAUCCACGCAGCUGUGUGGGCCUUUCUAAAGUAUACCCAAUUCCUUCACUUCCUGUUGGUUUAAUGCAUAUAUGUGCUUGCAUGUCUGUGUGUGUAUAUGUAUGUGUAUGUAUUCAGUGUGUGUGUGCAUGCAUGCAUUUGUAAACAACACGAAGAAUGAAUGGAGGUGGAAGAGGCUGACAUCAAGUGUCUUUCUCAAUAGACCUCUGCCUUAUCUUUGACACUGCUUUUCACUGGAGCUCAUCAACUCUGCUUUGCUAUCCAGCCAAUGAGUUUAAAAGCUGUCUGUCUCCACACUCCCAGGGUGGAAAUUACAGAUGAAUGCUAGCUUCUUCAUAGGUGCCAAGGAUCUGAGCUCAGGUCCUCAUGUAUGUGUGGAAAACAUUUUUACCAACUGAGAUGUCUCCCCUUUCUGACCAUAAACUGCAGUCUGCUUUCCCAAGCUCUGCCCUGUUCUGCCCUGUCGCUGAUUUCGCUUUAGUGUUGAUCUCUUUGCUUUAAGGUAUCUGGAAUCAUAACCAGACAUUUUGGGGCUGUAAUUCUGGUGUUUUAGUUCCAUACUCGAGCCAUCUGGACCCGUGUUUCAUGAAGUCAGUUCUCUGCUGGUGAUGCCUUUAUGCUGCAGUUCCCAUUUGUACUCUCUCCUGCACAUACAUAAUCCAUGGGACUCUAAGAGCCAAUCUGUUAUAAACUGAAAUUGUCAUCCUUUCUAUCCUCAAGCAUAAACCUACUCUACAAAUUUGCAAACAGUCUCUGUUUUGUUCUGUUCUGGUGUGUGUGUGUGUGUGUGUGUGUGUGUGUGUGUGUGUGUGUCUGUGUGUGUCUGUGUGUGUCUGUGUGUGUGUGUGUCUGUGUGUGUGUGUCUGUGUGUGUGUGUCUGUGUGUGUCUGCGUGUGUUGUGCAUGUGUGUGCUAUAUGCAUGUGUGUGCUAUACGCAUGUGUGUGCUAUAUGCAUAUGUAUGUUUUCUAUGUGUUUGUACAUAUAUAUAUGGAUAUGCAUUACAUGAGUACACAUCAGAGGAAGUCAGAGGCCCACCUCAGGCUUCUAUGCUUUGCUACCUAAUUUUUUGAGACAAGUUCGCUCACUGACUCCAGCAUCCUUGUGUCUCUGCUUGUCCACACUGGAACUGUAGGCAAAUGCCAUUGUGCCCAGCCUCUUAUAAUGCUAGGGAUCCAAACUCAAGUCCUCAUGAUUGUACCACAUGUGCUCUACUUACAGUGAUGCCUGUCUAGUUCAGGAGCCCUCUUCCUCUUUUUUUCUGCCACAUACUAGCUCUGUCUUAUUAUAGCUGCAAUAAAUUACUUAUAGAUGUCAUAACUAUGUAUCAUAUAUGUGGAUAGAUUAGAUAGAUAGAUAGAGAGAGAGAGAGAGAGAGAGAGAGAGAGAUAGAUAGAUGAGUAGAUAGAUGAGUAGAUAGGUGGAUAGAUAGACAGACAGAUGAGUAGAUAGGUGAAUAGAUAAAUAGAUAGAUACAUAGAUACAUAAUGAGGAUAAUUAGACUCAGCGUUAAAGUACAUUACAAGGUUCACCUUUUUGCCUUCAGACAUAUGAUAAAUAUGUAUCAAGUUUUGUAAACUGGAAAUCAGCUCACCAGUUUUAGAAUAAACAUAAAUGCUAUAAAUCCAGCCUGACCCUUUCUGGCUAUGUGGUACUGAACUAAAGAGAGAGAGAGAGAGAGAGAGAGAGAGAGAGAGAGAGAGAGAGAGAGGGAGAGAGAGUCAAUACUUCAAGGCUCUAUAAACUAAAGAGAUAGUCAAUAACUUAGGACUCUGUAUCAGGUGUUCUAAAGUAGAUUCAGGUGUAUGCCCUAUCCCAAGUAAAAUUCUGAGACUUAAAACGACAUUUUUUUAGGUUCAAAUUGUUACAGUAUGGACCCAAGAUUUCAACCCAAUUCUGCAGGCCCCUGUAUAUUCUGCUACCUUUUCUCCUUUUUUAAUCCAUAAAAGGAGUCAGGUUGAUCUCUUAUGGGAUAACUGUAAUGAAGACACAAUGCACUCCACCCUGUUCCACACUGAGUAGCUUCAUGCAAGCACUGGGAACACAUUGCUUAUUGAGGAGUGAGCUGUUUGGUGCUAAUUCCUGAAGUUGGUUUUCAUAUGAUUUCUCUGACAGAUCUUUGAUUUGUAUUUGAAGUUUUCUGACUUUCUAUUGCAUUUCUCUUUCCCAUUUAGACCUCUUAUUUACUUAUUUUAGAUAACUGAUCAUAGGCCAACCUCUUCCCAGUGAGCUCUAAGGAGCACAGUGUCCUAGACCCCAGUGUCCUGCCAUUCUUUCAUAUGUAUAGUCAUUGGCUAGUGCUGUGACCAGCAGACCUUGGCUUCAUACUCUUCAUACUUGAUGAGCAAAUCAGUGAUACAUUUCUGCUUACCUCUUCUUCCAGGUAGGAUCAUUUGAGCCUUAAUGGUCUGUAUAUGGCAGGAGAGCAGUGAACAUGUUCAAGCAUGUUCUUUUCUUAACGAUAAGUAUGAACAUCUCCAAAGACCCAACUUGAUGCAUUUAUAUCUCCUCCAACAAAAGUUUCUGUGCUGUUGUACACUGAAAACUACAAGUGUUGUCUCUAAUGUUGGUUAAACAUGUGAUCAUAUGCACUGUCUGUUUCACAAAGCAACCAUACUGGGUUCUUCCAAGCCAUGGACUUUUGACCAAGUUUACAAUACAGACAUGAACACCCUCAUGUGAAGCAGGGUUCAAAUGCAGUCAGAAAGUAGGUGGUUACUUCCAUAGAGGCCAUGCCAUUAUGUCACCUGAGCACACCUUGCCUGGCAGGGUGGUACUAUAGACCACAGGGUUUACAGUCUGUGAGGCUCAUGGUGCCUUUUCUCCCUCCACAGCCUGGACUGCACCAUCUGGCACUAUGAAAGCUGGCCAGCAGGGAAGGAACUUCUGGCUGUGUUCCAUCUUGAUUUCUCUAUCUCCUGCAACCAAAGUGCCUUUGGCAGUGGGGUCUUAUCAUCUACUCCUGAUGUUGGUUGGCAUAAAAAUUUUGGAAAGAAAAAAUAAGAAUGAGAAUAAAAUUGUAUUAUUAAGAAACCUGUAAAGGUCACAUUGGACAGAUGGAAAGGAAUGCUCCAUUUUUUUUGCUGGGCAAAGUGGUAAGAAGAAGGAUAGGAGCCAUUAUAAAUAGAACCUUAAGGCUAAUGCAUGGGAUUUAUUUGUGAUUUUCAGCUUUCUUUUUCCUGCCUGAAAAAGUACAGACUACAUAGAGGUAUUAGCUAUGUGGAAAGGAGGGCACUUACUCUCCUACUUUGUUGAAUUUCUACGGAAGUUUUAAUAAUGAAUCAAGUUAUCUUUGAAAAUAAUUAAUAGUCUUUAAAGAAAGCAAGAAGCCAAACUCUUCCAUGUUCAUCUCUGCGCAUCAGUUCAGCAGUCCCAUCCCUUAUGGCACAGAUGACACACAAGCCACCUCAGAUAUUUAUCUCUCAGAAUUGCGAAGCCAUAACAGGUCUACAACCCACAUUUAGCCCCAAGGGGAGCUUAGAUGCAAAUGGAGGUUAAUUCACACAGUGCUGGUUCCAUCUGGGUCUUUCCCACAAUAAAAUAAAUCAUCUAAUACAGCAAGAAUAUAUACUCAAAAAACUAGAGUUGAGACCCAGGCAAGAUAAUCCAGGGGGAAAAUGCUCUAAAUAUGGAAUCUAGAGCUGGGGGCCUUCAUUUUAAGAUGCCAUUAGCUAUUUCCUUUGACUUGGAGAGAAGACAGGCAUCUCUCUGGAGCAUAGUUUGGUUUUUUUUUUAAUCUAUUAAUAUAUAUUUCCAAGAGAAGUAGAUUAAUGGAUGAAUAUAAAGUUAUGAUCUUAACACUGAAACACCUACUCCAUAAGAGUUUUUAAACAAGGCAAUUAAUUAUGCAUUGGAAAGAUAAAAUGCUUCAAGACACUUGGCCUCCUAUUUUUAAACCAAGGGUGAUAAAUACUACUGGUUUCAAAGUCUAGAAGCCUAUAACAUCUUUCAUCAUCCAAAUUUGCCCUUGACCAGAAGAGAAGGAUUGUUAACUUGAAAAGCGGGUGCUAUAUUGAAUUUUAUUAAAUGACUACCUAGUUAGAAACUCCAGGGAUCUGGCUUCCUAUGGGGAAAAAAUGAAAAAUAAAAUUUAGAAGUUAAAUAAUAAAAAUUUCACAAUAACACUGAAUUAGUGGCAGGUCAUCACAGUAAGACUUUGUACAGAUAUAAUACAUGAAGCAUAUAAAAUUUCUCACAUGUUCACAUUUGAUCAUGCACACAUAAAAGACACUAUUGAGAAAAUAAUGGUGCUAACUCACUUUCAGACCAACGUUGGAAAAGACCAAUGGUUUGGAAUAAAUUUGGGUUCACUUUCUGACUGCUUUCAGCCUUGUGGCUUUAGACAAAUGAUUCUACCACUCCAAAUCACAGUCGCCAGGCCUUAACAAAUGGAUACAGCCUUUCAUAUCCAGCAUCAUGAGGUGAUCCUGAGAAUGAAAUGUCAGAGCUGAAGAAUCAGUGCAAAUGAUCACAUAUUUGCCUUGCAAGCUAAAGAGCUGAUUUUUGUCACUAGAGCCCACAUUUUAAAAACCUGAGGCACAGCCCCAUGCUUUUACCUUUCCAAAGCUAGAGCGGUGGAGACAAAUGGGACUUGUUAGCCAUCCAGCUUCAUCUAUUUGGUGACUUAAAGGUCACUGUCUCCAAAAUAAGGUAGGUAGUACCUGAGGAAUUGCCUUAGGGUUUUAGUACUGUGAAGAAACACAAAUGACCAAGGCAAUUCUUAGAAUGGCAAACAUUUAACUGGGACUGGCUUACCGUUUCAGAGGUUCUAUCCAUUACCAGCAUGGCAAGAAGCAUGUAGGAAGACAUGGUACUGGAAGAGCAUACAGUUCUACAUCUUGAUCUGAAGAAGGCUAGGAGGAGGCUCUCUUUCUACGAUGUGUGGAGCUUGAACAUAGAGACCUUAAAGCCUGCUACACACUGACACACUUUCUCCAACAAGGCCACACCUUCUCCAAUAAUGCCACACCUCCCAAUAGUGCCACUUCCCAUGGGCCAUUGGCCUCUGUAUGUAGUCUUACAUACAAAACACAUGCAAAAGUGAAAUCCAGUGUUAAUCCUCACCGCAUCACCAGUAAGAACAGAAAGGUCCUACUUUUAAAUUCCAUGGUAUCCCAAUCAUAAAAGAAGAGGCUCGUGUUUUCUGGAAAUACAACUGACAAAAGAAAAACAAAAAGAGAAAAAGCCCAACCAAAGAUAUGAUAAUCCUUCUGAUAUUUUCUGGAAUCAUGGAAUUGAUUGGUUUUACUAUUAUUGUCCAAAAUCGUAUGUGUGUGAGUUAGUCUGUGUGUGCUGUGCAUGCAUGCAUGUGUGUAUGAUCUCUGAUUACUAUGCAGAUACAAUUUUUCUGGCAUUAUAAAUAUUCACACAAUAUUUCACAUUCUACUCUGACCCACUCCAGCCUUAUACCUUCAUACAUGCUUCCUUCCUCCAUUACCCCUUUAUGCCCCACAGUGGUAUACUACCUUAGUAAGAGCCCACAGUGGAAAUAAGUUGUUUAGACAGUAUGUAUUACAACAGAGAGCCAGGUUUUUUCUCUCCCAGAUACUCAAGGAUAUCAAUCUUUUGAUGGUAUUUCCUGUACCAUACCAAUUCCUAUUAGUUACUGAGUUUUUGCUGCAGACUGUGCUGUCAGUAGUAGAUGUGCUAUGUGCACAUGUGUGUGUGUGUGCGCAUGUGUUUGUGCAUGUGCACAUGUGUGUUUGUGCAUGCAUGUAUGUAUGUGUAUACUCACACAUACAUACACAUGUGUGCAUUCAUGUGUGUAUGUUCAUGUGUGCAUGUGUGUGUGCACACUCACACAUGUGUGCAUGCAUGUGUGUGUACACGUGUGUGCCAAUGUAUGUGCAUGUGUGUUUGUGCAUGUGUGUAUGUAUGUGUGAGUGUGCAUGUCUGCUUGUGUGAGCAUAUGUGUGUUUGUGUGAGCAUGAAUGUGUGUGUGUGUGUGUGUGUGUGUUAUUUACUUCUCUCUCUCUCUGUUCCCUCCAUCACCAUCACCACCAUUAUCUGAACUUCAUUCAUGUUCUUUUUUCUGCUCCUAAUCUCUGUUGCCUAUUCUUACUCAUUCUUCCAGACUGAGUGCUACUGGCUGUGACCUUCCUCAAAGCCCAUCUCUGUGCCCUAAGCAUUCUAUCUAAUAAAAUCUUAUGCCACUUAGUACUAGCUCUGCCCAUUCAGUUGGUGACUGUUCCUUGACCUGAUCCAAAGGCAGGCUUUAUUUGUGGAGUAACCAAAUACAAGAUAAGGUUGUUAUUUGUUUCUUUGUGGAAACUCACUAACUUUUCUCUUAAACAAAACAAAACAACAGCAACAACAAAACAGAGUAGAGCCAUUAACUUCGAUCCCAUUUCCAGAAACAAGCUUGCCAAUUUGGCCCCUAGAAGUCCUCGAAUGACAGGAAAGAGAAUGGUGAUUUAGCAUAUAGAUCCUUUGCUUGUAAUCUUCCCAGUCAAGCCUGCUUCUGUAUGAUGGUGGCCAUUUCCUGAGGAUCACAACUGUGACUACCUUUAAACGCCCUGAUAAGCAUCCUAAAUGGUUCAUCAACUUCUUCUAGUAGCUCCUCAAGUAUUUGCAGCUCAGGCCAUUUAAGCAGCUUGCUUAGGGCCUAGAGUAAGUGAAGAAGCAAAACCUUAGUCCAAGCUGGUCUGAACCCAAAGCCUUGGUGCUUCACAGGGCAGCUUUCAUUCCUAGUAGACAUCGGAGAGCAUGUCCUCCUCAGGGUUCAUUACAGCAUUGUGCAUAGACUCACUACUGGUCUCAGAAAAACAGAAGGGGAAACAUCAGGGGCCAAGCAUGAUCCUAUAGACAGCAAGCAGUUUGCCCUUCCUCCUCCUCCCCUUCCUCUUCCUCCUCUUCUUCCCCUUCCUUUUCCUCUCUCUUCUCCUCUUUCUCCUUCUCCUCCUCUUCCUUCUCUUUCUCCUUCUCUUCCUCCUCUUCCUCCUUCUCUUCCUCCUCUUCUUCCUCCUCCUCCUUCUCUUCCUCCUCCUCUUCCAUUGCCAUCAUAUAAAUGAUCCUGGCCAGGAGAUGAAUGAGAAUCCAAGGAGAAGAACACUCCAUGAAGACAAUCCCUUCUCUUCCUGGUUUGUCCUGAAAACUCAGAAAGGGCUCUGUGCAGUUUCUCUUUAUGAAUUGAAGUCUGAGGCAAUCUCUAAAUCAUUCUCAUACAUCAUAUGUCACUUUUCAAAGAGAAAGAAUACACAUUAAAAAGAUUUGCUCAAUCCUGGACCUGCCUCUGAGCAUCCAAGAUCAAUGCUGAGGCUGAUUGAGUUGUGCUCUAUAGAUUUCUGCAGUCAAGUUCAUCAAGGCACCCAUUUCUCUUCCUCUAAUGAUGCUGAACCCCAAGCUCUUCUCCGAAGUGCUUUAAUUUUCACUCGGUCAUCUCGGAAGACAGUGACUUAAUGAACUGCAAAUAGGACAAGAAAGACACAUAAAUCAUCUUCAUAGCCUUUUCCAUGGCCCUACCAGGGCACUUCUUUGCUUAUUACGGUGCCUCCAGUGGCUUUUCUGUCCUCAGUGGUGGAAAUUAAAUUAUACAGCACAUUUUCAGCAAUGUAACACACCAAUAAAUACAUGAAAUCAUCAAGAUAAAUAACAAAGAUAAAUUAAUGUUAACACAGCACAAUGUGAUCUUAUGCUGUGUUACAACUAGUGUCUGAGCCGGGCGUGGUGGCGCACGCCUUUAAUCCCAGCACUCGGGAGGCAGAGGCAGGCGGAUUUCUGAGUUCGAGGCCAGCCUGGUCUACAAAGUGAGCUCCAGGACAGCCAGGGCUGUACAGAGAAACCCUGUCUCGAAAAACCAAAAAAAAAAAAAAAAAAAAAACAAACAACUAGUGUCUGUCUCCCUGUUGGAUCCAGUUAGGCAGCUCAGAAGACACUUGGCUUCAUGCAGAGGCCUAUCAUAGACCUAUUUUGGUACCACUAUCUAUUCAUGCAGUUUUUACAAAGCCAAAUUCCUAGAAGAGACUACUAUGCAGCAUCCUUUUUAUAGUCUAUGGCAGACAGUUCUCUCUUUCCGAAUGAUAAGAUAACAAGCUUGUAGUUUGCACAUAGCUCUGUGUUUCAAAGGUAGCACUGAAAAUUAAAGUGAUGUAUUAAUUAAAGAUUAAUCAACAGUGCCAGACCUCUAGUGAGUUCAGUGCCUUUUUUUUUUAAUACUGAGUGGCAUACUCAGAAAGAAUAUUGCAACUUAACUGAAAUUCUAAUCAAGCACCUAGAAGUUAAGAGAAUAAGAGAGACAAAGAAAGAGAAAUAAUCCCCCAGGGGUAGAUAUUUUAAAAAUGCAUCAAAGACUGUUAGGAAAGAGACUGCUAAUCUGUAUCACAUUGGAGGGAAAAAUGCUGAGCAGAGGGUAAGAUAUUUAGAUUUUUUUCUGACCUCAAGGGCGGCUGCCUUACCAGGAUGACCAGUGAGUCAGCUUGGUUUCCUUCAGUACUUCUAGGCUCUAUUCAUUCCAGAACUUUAUGUAAGGCUAGUACUGCCCCUAUCUCUCAAAGAAUCAGAGAUCUCAGAGCUGAAAACAUCCAAAGGAUCUUUUUAGCCAGUCUUGCUAUUUUAUACUAAAGUGCAAGAGUUGCCUCUUCAUGAGACUAACCUUGCUUAAUUAACCCCACUAACAGGAAACUCUCUUCUCAUCAAGACCAGUGAUUCCUCUAUGCCUAGCUCAUAUUAUAUAAUUUUCUGUUGUUCCAUUUUCUCUUUGGUGGUACAAUUAUUAUGUUCAGUCUCUGGAGACUAAAUGCCAUUGUAAACUUGCUCUUUCACAAGCCAACCUUGCUUAUAUUUAAAGACAGCAGCAUAAAGUUCUUAGAAUUUCUCCAUCUAGAUCCAAGGGUCAUCACGCAAUCUAUUGCUGACUUUCCUGCUGAAUUCCUAGGUGCUAUUGCUGAAUGGAAAAGAGCCAUAGUAGACAUAGGUGACCAAUUUUUCCUUGGCACUUACUAGACAAUUACUGUCACAUGAAUCAAGAGCAUUUUUAAGCCCCUCAUUCUUCAACUAGGAGAGAAAUUGAAUGGCAUUAAAUAAUAUGAGGUGUAUAACAUUUUCCUACAACACAAUUACAAAUCUCACUACUUUGUAAGUGGCUUCGAACUCUCUCUAGUCUAAAAUCAAGGGUUAUAAACAAGUGUUAUGAAGCCACCUGCUCUAGGAGGACCAUGUGUCAGAACAUCCCACACCCAUACUUCUUCUCCUGCUUAUGUAGCUGUUUAUCUCAUUCUAGGAGCUGUAUUAUAUUAUAGCAUUUAUUCUUCACAACAGCCACUAGACAGGUCUGUAGCUAUCUACAUUUUACAAAUGAAGACAGAAAAAUGAGCAAGCCCUUCCCCGGGUAACAAUAGGGCACAUGGCAAAGUUAGAUUUGAACCUAAGUCUCUCUGACAACAGGUUCAUCUGAUAGCUCUGAAAUGUAUGGAAGCUGGCUGGAGCAAAGCAAAGGUGAAGGGAGGGCUCUCAGUGAGGAGUGUGUUUCCUGUCAGUGAAGGUAAUUAAUCAAAUUUAGGAUUAAAGGUCUUUAGGCAAAACAUAGGAGAAUAAGAGCUGAAACCUUAAAGAUACUUUAAGGCACAGCACUGAGUAUAGGAUUUCUCACUUGAUAGAGAGGGUCAGGAAGCUAAGCUGCAAACAGCACACACUGCGGGGAGUUUAAAGGGGGAAAGAGAUUUAUUUACUUAUUCUUUCACAGUUUCACACUAAAUACUUUUUUUCCUAAAAAAUCUCCUCCUACCCUUGUCUUGUAUUUGUGUGUGUGUGUGUGUGUGUGUGUGUGUGUGUGUGUGUGUGUGCACUUGUGACCUAUUGCAUUUAUUAAGAUUGUUUACAUAAGCAUGAGUAUGCAUAGUAGAAAUUCAUUUUCUUGAGCAUGGGCAAUUAACCAACAACUAACAAACAUGACCCCCUAUUCUAAAAAAAAAAAAAAAAAAAAAAAAACAACAACAACAACAACAACUUUGCUCUUAAAAAGACAGGUGGGGCCUUAUAAGCUCAUCCCCCAUCCAUGAUGGACUAUUGGUGGACAGGUCUUGUACAGGCUUUGUGCAGGUAGACCCUGCUUCUGUGAGUUCAUGCAUGCGAUAGACAUGUCAUAUCCGUAAGAUAGUAUUUUAUGGCACUCCUUUCUAUUCUCCAGCCUUUACAUUCUUCCCGCACCCUCUUCCUCAGUGUCCCCUGAGCUUUGAGGGGGGCCAUAUAGAUGUUCCACUUGGGGUUUUGAGCAGUCUACAGUCACUGACUCUCAGAAUUUUGACCACUAUGAAAUAAGCAUUAUCUAUUGUAGACAGAAGCUUCUAUAACUAAGGCCAAAAGCAAGACAAAUCUGUGGACAUGAAUAUAACAUUUUUUAAAAAAAGUUUGAGACUUUUUUCAUUUAGCAAAAUAAAAUGGAUUCUUCCCAGGGACUAUUCCCUUUCCAGCCAUGGACUUUUGACCAAGUUUACAAUACAGACAUGAACACCCUCAUGUGAAGCAGGGUUCAAAUGCAGUCAGAAAGUAGGUGGUUGUUCCCAUAGUGGCCAUGCCAUUAUGUCACCUGAGCACACCUUGCCUGGCAGGAUGGUUCUGUAGAUCACAGGGUUUACAGUUGGUGAGACUGUUGGUGCCAUUUCUCACUCCACAGCCUGGACUGCACCAUCUGGCACUAUGAAAGCUGGCCAGCAGGGAAGGAACUUCUGGCUGUGUUCCAUCUUGAUUUCUCUAUCUCCUGCAACCAAAGUGCCUUUGGCAGUGGGGUCUUAUCACCUAGUAGCGUUCAAGAGCACUCACAAUGACCAUAUAAAAAAUAAGUAUUUUAAAAGCAAGACAGGGGCCAGGUUUGGUGGCACAUGCUUGGAAUCUCAAUAUUUGGGGGUGGGGUGGGGGUGGGGCUGAAGCAUGAGGAUUGCCACACAUUCAAGGUCAACCUUGUUACAUAAUGACUUUCAAGAUAGCCUAGGCUGCACGGCCAGACCCUGUCUCAGACAAACAAACCAACAAACCAAUGAAAAAAACAACAACAACAACAACAACAACACAUGAGGAGACCCAGAAUCUCUCCAGGAGGAGGGAACCUAGAAAAUCAGAC